GACAUUUGGCACACCUCCUUUUGAGUUGCAAAAACAUUUCUAAGUUGAGGUUAGAUGAGGAGAUAAGAAGGUUACCAGAGUACCACUACUUGUCUUCAAAUCUCGCUUACAUAAAGUUGAGAAGGUGCAAGCUUGAGUAAGAUCCAAUGCCAACACUUGCGAAACUGUCUUACCUAAGUAUGCUUGAAUUACAUGAAGAGGCUUUCAUAGGAAAGGAAAUGUUUUGCUAUGGACAAGCUUUUGCUAAACUUGAGUCUCUAAGCCUUAAGGAGUUGAACUUUCUGGAGGAGUGGAAAGUGAGUGAAGGAGCCAUGCUUUGUCUUCGGUGAUCAGAGAUAGAGAACUGUAGACAACUAAAAAAGCUUUCAGAUGGGAGGUUCAUUGCAACCCUUCAAGAACUGAAGAUUAAACUAAUACCGAAGACAUUCAAAGAUAAAGUGGAGGAAUGGGGAGAAGAUUUCUGCAAAUUCCACCUUGAGUCUCUAAGCCUUAAGGAGCUUAACUUUCUGGAGGAGUGGAAGAUGAGUGAAGAAGCCAUGCCUUCUCUUUGGCAAUUGGAGAUAGAGAAUUGCAGACAACUAAAAAAGCUUCCAGGUGGACAGAGGUUCAUUGCAACCCUUCAAGAACUGAAGAUCAAUGCCAAAGACAUUCUAAGAUAAAAUGGAGGAAGGGGGAUAAGAUUUCUGCAAAGUCCAACAUGUUCCUUCUACCUGUUAGUUCAAAACUCUGGUAAGGAAAAUCUCGAACACACGAUCGAAACUCGAACAGUAAAAGAAGAAAUAGGACAGGCUCCAAGGCGUGUAUCAAGCCACUAUCUUUAAGGUUAUAUUCGCCCUCACCUACCUUCGGUGUGCAAAUGAGUUCCAAGCAAAUUAACCUCGAGGAUACAAUGAAGUCAAUGACUAUUUGUGUUUUGCACUGACGAGAAUAGUCCACUAUGCACUGAGCAAUGUAUAACAAAAAACUCAAUUUCUACAAAGGAUUUCUGCAGUAAUACUUUAUAGAAUAAUCUAAUAAUAUUAGAAAAUGAAAGAAGGAAAAAAAGAAUAUUAGAAUUUGUUGAUCUAUUUCCAAAUGAAAUCUCAUUCCUAUUUAUAGGAAUUUUCAUGUCUCUUCAUAGAGACACCUUUCAAUAGGUGUCUUUAUGAAUAAAUAAAUAAUAAUUAUUCAUUUAAUUUUGUAACUAUUCAAAUAAUAUUUUUUGAAUAAUUAUAAUUCUUUAAAAAAAAAUCAAAUAAUAUAACUUUUGACCAAUGACCAAAAGAUUUGUCUUUUGAUUAAUUACACUCAUUCAUUUAUAGUUAUUGGGAUACUAUAAAUAUUUGAAAAUGUUUCAACACUAUCAUAUUCCAAAAUUGCGAGUGAUAGUACUCAUGAUUAAUGCCGGUAAUUCAUAAUCUUUGUUUUAGGAAAUACUUACCCGAUUUGUUUAUACAUCAUAUUGACAUUUUUUAAUAUUUCCUCUUAAGGUAUUGAAGGCAUGCCAUUUUUUUUAUUCUGUUGCUGCUCUUUAUGGGACCAAAUAUAUGUAAAAAAGUUGUAACAGUACUGUGUGAAAUUGUGUACGUGGUGCUCAUUCGGAUAAUUAUGAACUUUAUUACUUCUAUACCAGCCAUUUGAAAUGGGGUGCUUACAAAUAAGUUCAAACCAUUUCAAGUGUUCGAAAAUACGACCCCUUUCACCUUUUCUUUUUGCCAUUGCCAUAGAGCAUUUAAGACAUCUCAUCGACGAAGUGAUUAAAGGUGACAAAUGAAAGCCCAUCAAACUGUAUAGAGAUGGGCCACAAAUUUCGCAUUUGUUUGUCACCGAUGACCUUGUUCUCUUCUAUAAAGCAGACAUGAAACAUGGUGAAGUCCAAAGAAUCCUACAAGAACAGAGCAGAUAUUCUGCCCAUAAAAUUACUGCUUCCAAGAUGCAAAUAUAUUUCUCGUCAAAUUUGAAUAAAAUAUAUGCAAUUUACUUAAAUUUCACUUCUCAUUACAACUUUUAAAAUUAUAACUUCAUUCUCUACCGAAGUUAAAAGGUUUAUCUUUUUACUUGAAUGCUGCAAUCAAAACCAAUUAUAACAUCAGAAACGUUAAGCAAACAAGCAUGCAAUAGCAAAUGGAAAAACAAAAAGUUUUAAUCUUUGAAAUUUAAAUUAUUUUAAUAUUUAUAUUUUACAUAUAUUUGGACAUGAAUAUAAAAUAAAUUUUUUUAAAAAAUGAGUACAUUAUUCGUAUCUUUCAUGAGAAAAGAAUAACUCUAUUUUGGCAAUUAGUGCAAUCUGAUUUAAUUGGUUAUCAAAUAUUAUUGGCUCCCCUUUUAUUCUUUGCUCAAGCUUUUGCUUUUUAUUCAGAAUCAGUCGCCUAAGCAUUGGGUUGAGAAUCCAAUUUUCAUUGCAUAGUACUUUGCUACAUCAUGAGAAUCACUUAAACCUAUUGCACAAGCAAGAAUUUAUAGUCGAAACAUUGCACAAUGCUGUCUUUUGGCAAUAUAAUCGUUUUUUGGUGCUUUACUUAAACAUGCUUCAAGGAAUUGGUAAAGAUAAAAACAAAAAUAAAAGAUUGGUUUCAAUAAAUUUAGUUGUUCUUGUUUUAGCUUCCAUUAAUGAGGAUACUUGCUAAAGCAAUUGGAUAAGAAUCUAAUUUCCCUUGUGUAGUACUCUUAUCCUUCCAUGGGAAUCACCUGAACCUUUGUCCACAAGCAAGAAUUGUAUGGUUUACUUUAACUUUGAACCAUAUAGUCAAUUGUACCAGAAACCAAAAAAUCCAAAAUAUCAACCGUAUUUGGUCACAAAAAAAAAAAAAUGCUCUCCCAUGGAUUUCUCUGCUGUUUCUUCUGCUCUCAAAGCAAUCGGCGAGCUAACACAAGAAGUCACAUCCUUGUGGGGCGUCGAUGAACAAGUUGAGGACCUAGCAAGUGAGCUGAGAUGGAUGCAAAGCUACUUGAAAGUGGCAGACGCAAGAAAAGUUGAUCAUGAGGUGAUACGUACCAGCGUUGUUAAGAUCAGAGAGUUGACCUACGAUGCUGAAGAUGUGAUCGAGACGUUUUCCCUCAAAGUUGCUUCCAAAAGGAAAGGUGGAUUUUCAAAUUGCAUCAAAAGAUCCGCUUGUUUCCUCAAAGAGGGAUGCCUGCUCCACCAGAUCAAGUAUCACAGUUCGGGGUUGAUGGAGAAGGACCAAGUUCUUCAACUGAAAGGCUGGAGUCAAGGCGGCCUUAUCCUCAUGUUAUGGAUGAUAACAUUGUUGGAUUGGAUAAACAUAUCAAGAAACUGGUCACAGUUCUUCUCGAUGAGCAAAGUGAAAGUAGGGUUGUCUCCAUAUGCGGAAUGGGUGGUCUGGGCAAGACCACUCUUGCCAAGAAAAUAUAUCAUCACAGCCAAGUUGUUGGUCAUUUCACGCACUUGGCUUGGGCAUAUGUUUCUAAAAAUUUUCAAAAAAGAAAAGUUUGGAAAGAUAUUCUAUCAGAUCUUAACAUCUUAGGUGAAGCCGAUAAGGAGAAGGUCGAAAAGUUGACAGAGAAGUUAUCUGAUUUCUUGGAGAAAAACAAAUGUUUGGUGAUACUCGAUGAUAUUUGGGACACCAAGGCUUGGGAUAGCUUAAAACCAGCAUUUUCGGCAAGAGAGACGGAAAGCAAGAUCUUACUCACCUCUCGGAACAAGGAGAUAAUUUCACAUGCUGACAAAAAUGGUUUCCUAUAUGAAUUGCAGUGCCUAAACUAGGAACAGAGUUGGGAACUAUUCCAAAAGAUUGCCAUUCCCCCAACAAAUUCACCAGGUAAUAUGUUUAUUGAUUUCAUAAUGGUGAAAUUAAUCUAUCUUAAUAUAUAUUGCAAUAUUUACUCUACAUUCUAUUUUUGGACGAAAAAAAUUGUAUAUUCUAAAUUGGCAUAAUGAUUUAUUUAACACACCAACUUUAUAAAAAAGUCAUUUUAGUCCUUCAUUUAAUUUUUCAUCUCUUUUAGUUAUUGAACUUUGUCAAAUUACCCCCAAAUGGAUAUAUAGAAAAGUUAAUAUUUGUUAAUUUUGUUGAUAUGACAUCUACAUGGUAGUUCACAUACGUUAGCAAUUAAUUAAUUUGAAGAUGAGAACACUGUUUAUUUUCUAUCAUAUUACUAAGAUAACUUUAAAAAUAAUUAUAAUUUAAUUUAAAAUUAUUAGUUAAAAAAUUGUGUUAAUUUUAAAAUAAAGUUACUACUUAAAUGAAACUUUAAGCAUAAAAUUUUUUACAUUAAUGAGAAUAUCUUUUACUUUUAUUAUAUUACUAAAUUCACAUUUAAAAAAAAAGUUGAAGUAAACUAGAAGUUAUAAUAAUUAUAUAUUUACAAAUAAUUAUAAUUUAAUUUUUAAUUAUUAGUUUAAAGGUUGUGCAAAUUUUAAAGUAAAGUUAUUACUUGAAUGUAAAUCUAAGUAUAAAAUAUAGGCCAAAGUUAUAAUUAUAUUUAAAUAAUAAUUAUUAGUUAAAAGUUUUGAUGUAAAAAAAUUGUGUUAAUCUUAUUAAUGUAAAAUAGAGCCAUUACAAUUUUAAGUAUUUUAAUUAUCACUUAAUUAAUCUAGAGUUAAUUAUAUUAAUUAGUUAUGUUUUGAAUAAUAUUUCUUUGCAUUAACCACAUAAAGUAAAACUAUAUUAUAUGUUGAAUAUGUUAAAGAUAUUUUAAUUAUGAUUUGAAAAUUUUAUAUUAUAAUAUUUGAAUUGAUAAGUUAAUAUAUUUUAAUUAUAUUCAAUAAUUCAAAUAAGAAAUAUUAUUUCACGUUAAUGACUGUAAUAAAAAAUAAAAAAAUUUAAAAUUUUGAUUAAAUAUUAAAUAUGUAAAAUCACAUGCAACAUAUAUAACAAUAAGAUUUAAUAUAAUAAAAAUUAUGAACUUUUAGUAUAAUUAUUGAAUUUUCAUGAAGUUGAUUAAAAUUUGAUAUUUGAACUAGGGGUGAGCAAAACUCGAUUCGACUCGAAAAAAUUGAAAAAAAUUCGAAUUUCGAGUUAAACGAAUCGAGUUAUUCGAGUUAAUCGAGUUAUUCGAAUCAACUCGAAUUUUUUUUUCGAAUUUCGAGUUCGAAUCGAAUUGAGUUUUCAAAUUCGAAUAACUCGAAUAAUUCAAAUAAUUCAAAUAUCAAACUAUAAUAUUUUACAUUUUUACCCCAAACUCCUAAACCUUUUUACUUUUCCCUCAAAACUUUUACUCCUUCCCACUUUCCCCCCAAAACUUUUACUCCCCUCUCCUCCAAACCCCCCAAUCUACCCAAAAUUCAUUUCCCGCCAAAAUUUUACUCUCCCAUUUAUUUUUUCUCAAAAUUUUACUCCCAAAACCCCUCAAAACCUUUUAUUUUCUCCCAAAAUUUUUACUCCCUCCCACUUUUCCCCUAAAACUUUUAUUCCCUUCCCAUCCCACCUCCCAUCUACCCCAAACCCUCCCCCCUCCAAUUUUUUUUUUAAUAUUUUUCCUCCAAAAUUUUACUCCCCCUAUUUACUUUCCCUCAAACUUUUAUUUGCCAAAACUUUUUAUUUUCCCCCUAAACUUUUACUUCUCACCCUUUACCCUCAAAUAAAAAAUCAAAAUUAUCCAAAAAAAAAUUCACUAAACAUAAAUAGUAAUAAUUUUAUUUAUAUCUACUAUUUAUAUUAUUAAAUUAAAUUUCACAUUUUAUAUUAUUUAUAUUAUUUAUAUUAUUGAAUUGUUUAGUCAUAUUGAAUAUUUAUAUUAAAAUUGAAUUAUUAAUUAUGCCAUAAAAUAUUCGUGUUAAAAUUUUAUAUUGGUAUCAAUUUCACAUAUUAUUUUUAAAAUAACUUUUAUUAAAAAAAUCAUAUUUUUACAUUUAAUAUAUUUUUUAAUUCUAAAAUACAUAGUGAGAAGAAUCUGAAGAUAAUUGAAACAACUAAGCAAGCAAAAAAGCUAACCAAUAUAUAAAAAAUUAAUAAAUAAAUUAUGAGGUGAUGAAAGUUAAUAAAAAAUUUCAUUAAGGUGGACAAAUUUUAUUAUGAUGGGUGACAGUGGUUACAAGGACCCAAAAUUAUUUUUUAAAAUUUAACUCGAACAAAUAUAUUCGAUUCGAUUCGAUUCGAAUUCCAUCUCACUCGACUCGAUUCGAAAAAACUUCAAAUAAAGUUAGGAUGAUAAAAUGAGAUUCGAAAACUCGAUUAACUCGAAAAUUUUCGAUUCGAUUCGAUUCGAUUCGAUCGAAUGCUCACCCCUAAUUUGAACAAAUAAAAAUGCUACAAAACUACUUGUUUCAAUGUCAUAAAUGGGAUUUACUAAAUUAACUUUCAUUAAUAUUAAAAUCUUUAAAUACAUAUUACGAGGAGCAAUCAUAAUAUGUUUGUAGUAAAAAAGAAUACACUAAUUUUAGAUUAAAUUAUUAUAAUUUGAUUUAAAUUUAUUAGUUAAAAAAGUAAUACUAAUUUUAAAAUAAAAAUUUAAGUAUAAAACAUAUUAUUGAUAAUAUUGUGGCUAAUUACUAAAGUGUAAUGUUGUGGGUAACUUGCAUGGCUUCCUGCUUCACUAAUUAUUUGAAAUUGUUUAAGAUUUCAAUGUUGUGAUUAAUUACUAAACCGUACUCUGGUGUUGAAGUUAUCACUGAUUUUUUUGAUACUUUGUUUUGGUAUUAUACAGGCCAUAAAAUUGAUUGAAAAUGAAGAAGUUAGGAGAGGACAUGGUUAAAAACUGUGCAGGGCUUCCAUUAGCCAUCGUUGUAUUGGGAGGAAUUUUGGCUACAAAGUAUCCUUCAUUAACUGAAUGGCUGAAGGUAUCGGCAGAUGUGAUCAUACUUGAACAACAAUAAAGGUGAAGUACUGAGAGAUGUGUUGUCAUUAAGUUAUGAUGAUUUGCCUCCCUAUUUAAGACCAUGUUUUCUUUAUUUAAGCCACUUUCCGGAGGAUUAUGAGAUACCUGCGGAUAGAUUAAUUCAAUUAUGGGUUGCCGAAGUAUUGUUUUAUCAAAGCAAGGAGAUGAAGGGCAAAUAGAAGAAGAUGUGGCUGAAGGUUAUUUAAUGGAGCUUGCAGAAAGAUGUAUGAUUCAAGUACGAGAAAGAGACAUUGCAACCUUAAAGAUGAGAAGUUUUCAGAUGCAUGAUCUAAUGAGAGAUGUUUGCUUGUCAAAGGCAAAAGAAGAAAAUUUCCUCUAUAUUGCUGAUCAGUCAAAUGCGUGCCAGUUAUCCACAAUUGAGAGGGUUCACAGAGUUUCUGUACACAAAUAUUUCCCGAUACAGGGCAUUAAAAGUUCACAUCUUCGAUCACUUUUGUUCUUCGAUGAGUUUUUUCCGUGCAAGGAACAGGAAAAGGUUUUGCCAUUGACAGUGACAAACUACGUCAACAACCACAGCAAUGAAGAUUUCAAUCUACGUUUUUGUUUUGUGGUGGCUUUCGUUAAUUGUGUGCUAAUUACUAAAUUUAGGGGAGUUUGGAAAUAUAUGUUCAAUAAUUUUAAUUUUCUUAGAGUCUUAGAUUACGAAAGACGAGGAGAUGCAGGAUGGAAGUUACCCAAUGAUAUUGGGAAACCCAUCCAUUUAAGGUUCUUGAGACUAAGGAAUUUGAACUUCCGAAUUUCAAAGUUGCCAUCAUCUCUAGGCAACUUAAGCUGCUUGCAGACCUUGGAUUUAAGAAUCAUCUCUAAAAGAAGAUCUUGGGAAUCUAUUCAUGUACCUAAUGUGUUAUGGAGGAUGCAGCAACUAAGACAUCUAUAUCUCCCUUAUAGAUGUAGUCCUGAAACAAAGUUGAAGUUGGGUACAUUAGGAAACCUCCAAACACUUGUCAACUUCAACACCAAGAAUUGUUAUGUAAAGCAUCUUAUCAACAUGACAAACCUUAGAGAGUUGGAGAUUCGAGGGCCCUUCAAUAUUGAAGAUUUUAACACCGAAGAGUUGGACAAGAAUCCACCUAUCAUCCAAAGCAAAUAUCUUCAUUCCUUGUCUAUUUUCUAUUAUGAAGGAAGAAUAGAUCCAAGACAUUUGGUGCGCCUCCUUUCGAGUUGCCAAAACAUUUCUAAGUUGAACUUAAAUGUGGAGAUAAGAAGGUUACCAGAGUACGACUACUCAUCUUCAAAUCUUGCUUAUGUACACUUGAGAGGUUGCAAGCUUGAGGAAGAUCCAAUUCCAACACUUGAGAAGCUGCCUAACUUAAGAGCUCUUAAACUACAUGUAAGAGCUUUCAUAGGAAAGGAAAUGUUUUGCGCUACAGAAGGUUUUCCCAAACUUGAGUCUCUAAGCCUUGCGUGUCUUGAAAAUUUGGAGGACUGGAAGGUGGAUGAAAGAGCCAUGCCUUCUCUUCGGCAAUUGGAGAUACAAAAAUGCAGACAGCUAAAAAAGCUUCCAGAUGGAUUGAGCUUCAUUGCAACCCUCCAAGAAUUGAAGAUUGGAUCAAUGCCAAAGACAUUUGAAGAUAAAGUGAAGGAAGGGGGAGAAGAUUUCUGCAAAUUCCAACAUGUUCCUUCUAUCACAUUCCACCACUGCAGGCACUGCAAGUGCUAGUAAUUAUGAUUAAUGCCAGGUAAUUCAUAAGAUUUGUUUUAAGAAAUAUUUAAUCUUUUUGUUUAUAUAUAAAAAUCCACAAUUAUUUUGCAUGUUUAGAAUCUUUCUAAAGCAGAUAAUAAUUUAGGCAAGAUCCUAGCUUCGGUUCUUAUCCUCUGUUUUUGGUAAUGUCUCAUAUUCCCACAGGAUUUGUCAUUUGAAUUAAAAGUCCUAGAAAAUGUUUUCAAUAGGCUAUUAAGCACGCUGGUGAUGGUCGACAGAUGCAUUUUGCUGUUCUUUAUGGGACCCAACAUAUUUAAAGGAGUUGUGACAAUAUUGUGUGGAAUUGUGUACGUGGUGUAAAAUUGGAGAUUUGAAUUUGUCUUGUAUUUUCUAUGUAUGUUGUGGAUACUAUUGUUGUUCCCAUCAGAUUUGUUUAUUGUUUUUUUUUAAUUAUUCUCAAAUUUGUAAUGUUCCCAAUUAUCUAAAGAUUUUUAAGUAAUUUUCUAUUACAUAUAGAACAAUCAUCGAGAGGACAAAAAGAGUUUGUACUUUGUACAAAAUAAAAGGAAAUACAAAAACAACACCAAUUUCAUAAAUAUUAAUUAUACCGUGGGAUGGUUGAACUUUCAGAAAAUAGAUUUGUACCUGACUUAGGACUAAAUUUAUUCUUUGCUUAAACUUUCUGCAAGGAUGGUUGAGAAAACAAAAGUCAAGAUCUUUAUGGAGUUUUAGUUGUUAUUUAGCUUAUGAUAAAUUAAUGAUUGAGACUUUUGUGCUCAAAAUUGCAUCCAAAUAUGUAGCACCCUAAAUCCGACCUAGACAUUAUGAUUGGAUCUUGAGGAAUUACAUCAACUCCUUUAAAAAUUUUUUAUUUAGUAACACAAUAUUGUUACGAAAGCAUAAAAUUUUGACAAAACUCUCACAUAUAUUUUUAGAAAAUCUUAUGUUCAAAAGAACUUACUUUACAAUAAAGUCACCUAAUCACUUAUUUAGUUUGACAGCGGAAAUUUUCAGAAUUUUAAUUCUGAAAAUCGAGUUCUAAUUUGAUCGACCGAAUAAUUUUGUUGUUUUACGUUAAAAUACCAAAAUCCGACAGAAUUAACAAAACCAUAAAGCAUAGUCCAAAAAGUCCAAAAAAAUAAUUAAAAACAUGAACUCUCAUUUAAUUUACUGAGAAUCAAUCUGAGCUCCCACAUGCCGUUCGAUCUUAGGGUUGCUACUUUCUUGAAAAGAUUUAAGAAAAAAGGGUGAGCUAUAAAGCUCAGUUUGCAACUUAUCUCAAACAGUAUCAUAGAUAACAUAUCAAACAGUUCAGAAUAACAUAGAGAAUUCUAUCAAGUUCAAAUAAGCAAAAUUGAGCAUACAAGAAAUGUCAAUGCAAUAUUUUCAAAAAACAUAAUGCAGAUUUUUUCAAAAACAUCCUACCCAGCUCCGCUACACACCGAUUAGAGUUCCCUAGAACUCGUUUACCCCAAAUAUCACCAUAAGAAAAAUUAUGGUCAAAGCCACCAAAGAUGCAGUUAAAUUGCCAUAUCAGAUAUAUGUGAUCAAGCCACUAUAUUUGCAGCCUAGCAUGCUAGAAUAGAUAUGUGGUUAAACCACCAGAUAGUGUAGAUCAUUAAACAACCAGAACUUCCUUGUUAUCAUAUCAUCCCAUCCCCAUGCAAUGUGACAUGGCAUGCAAAUACAAAAUCUAAAUGAAAACCAUGUAAGACAUGCAGUCCUACAAUUCACAGAAAUUAGAAGGCAUGGAGUUCCAUGCAUAGUCAUAUAGCAGUUUCAGAAAUAAACAGGAUAACAUGAUUAGAUUUCACAUGCUCAUAUAUGAACAUAGCAAAAUAGAAACAUGCCAUUACAAAACUCAACAAGCUUACACAUCAGAUCAUGCUAUCAUGGUUUCAAAAGUAGUACAAACAAAGACAAAAUAUCAGAUUUUGUAUUUAAAAGCCAUAUGUAUCACAUUAUAAACCUUGCGAAGUGGUUAACAUUGAGUCACAUUUCGUUUAUUGCCCUAAGGAAAAUUUUCAAAAAAAUGGGUCCAUAUGCCCGUGUGGCCCACAAAUCCUAACGUGCCCAGCCCAUGUGGCCUACACAACCUAAUUAACCUAGACUGUGUGAGCCACAUGGUUUGCCACACGGCCUGGCACACGGUCAUGUGACGUCGAUAAUCCACUUUUUGGCAUCGCGCCAUUCGCGAUUUUUUGAGUUUUUCAUUACACACCUGAUUGUUUUUCGAUGCAGACUCCAUAACGAGGAUCUUAGAACCUAAAUGAUGAUCAAAAUUGAAAAUUUAGCAACAAUAAAUCAAAUUUUAAACCAUUAAAUUCUACCACCACUGCCAUCCAAAGACCUCAACAAGCGAAAAUUAGCUUUAGGCAAUGAUUACUUACCCAAAAUAGCAAUGGCAAACCCCAAAAGAAAACUCCUAAUCUGUCGGAAGGUUGUCAUGUGACUUACGAACCUCACCUUAUAGAUUUCCACACAAAAGAGAGCGUCACAACACAGUCAAUCCUUACUAAACAAUUUCUAAAUAACAUACUUACAAAUAUCCUCCUUACAAGCAAUAAUAAUGAAUCAAACACCAUACUUACCACAAAUCAGGAACCCCAAAAAUGCUCCCAAAGAUUAAAUAAAAAAUUAGGUACGACAACAUAAGGACUAAAGGUUGAAAUCUCACGAAGAAUUGUUGAGAAAACAAUAGUCUGGCUCAAAAGAAAGAAAGUGGAAACUGAAAAAAACAAAAAGAGAAAAACUAGGGAGAGGAAAACAGUGGACGGCAAUUGAGAGGAAGAGAGAGACAUGAGAAUUCCUCCAAGUUUGACUUUAACUGAAAUUCUAACAACUUGGACAACGCAACAAUAAGAAGCAAAAAUAACUUCUUUUUUGCACACCAUAAGAUUCAAACACGAGACCACAAGUUAAACUAAAGCCUUACCAUUGAACUAGUGACUCAUUCUUCUAACAAUCUAACAAAAAAUAAAGGUAAGCUAGAUGCGAUUAGCUAGAUAUAGGGGUAAAGCAUAUAAAACCUAAGGGAAAUGGUUUAGACAUAGGACCUCAAGCAUAUGACCAAAACACUUAACCACUACACCAAAUCAAAUUACUUGUCACAAUUUCACAAUGUUAUCCCAAAAACAAAACGUGGCCACCAUUGGCUCACCAGCCCAAUUUCUACUAACUCAGUUUUUGGGAUGUGAUAUUGUAUCAAAUGAUCUGCUUAUUUUUUCAAAGGAAGAUUGCUUGCUCUGCUAAAUGAAGUUAGAGAUAAAAAAAUCAUAACCAAGAUCAAAGUAUUGACUCAACAACUAAAGAUGUAUGAUGUAAUAGAGUUGGGGGAUCAUGGAAAAAGGACCAAGUUCUUAAAGGUGAUGGUUCCACAAAAUGCAAUGAUUCGUGUGAUGACACUUUAAAAGGACCUUAGGAUGCACAAAUUGUUGUAUACGUCAGUGUUGCUUGUUCACCUCAUCCAAGAGAAAAGGGAAGCAUCUAGAAGAAAUAAGCUCAAAUUUAACACAGAUGCUGCUUGGAGGCUAGUGGAGUACAAGGAACUGUGUGUGGUUGUGGUACGUGGCUCAAAUAUGCGCAUGGGCUGCAUGGUGAGCACAACUAGGGCCUUUUAUGUUCUUUUGGUCGAGACAUAUGCUAUCAUAGAAGCACUCUCCCUUAUGUGAGAUCAUGGUUUUUGUUGUAUUGUUAUUGAAAGUGAUUGUUAUGCUUUUGUGACUAGACACAAUAGUAGACUUUGGACUUGUUUUUGUAUGGUUGAAUCGAUGAAAAGGCCCAUGGACUUUACUCUUUCUUUUUAAGUGUGUCGAAACCGUUUUUUGAAAACAAAUCUUUUGGUUGUCGACUUUUAAAAACAAAAACUGGAGUCGCCACCGAUCCUUUAUUAAGGUGUGAUCGGCCCACCUUAAAAAUAAAUUUGGUCUGCGAAAUUUGAGAAAACAGGUUCGGGAGUCAGUUACGCACGAGGAAGGAUUAGCACCCUCAUAACGCCCAAAAUUGGUACCAAAUUGAUUUUUGUUAAUGUCUUGAUGUCGAAAAUUUGAAAAGAUUUUAAAAGAAAACUCUUUAUUUCAUGAAUAAAAAAAUAAGACAUUCACAUUUCAAAGAAAUAAAACACCACACCCAGUGAGUUAGGGCACAAUGUUUUUAAAUCUUCAAAAUACCCGAAUAUUGCCUUUUGCUUUUGAAAAUUCUUAUUUCGAGAAGAAAAUGUCAUGACCAGUAAGUUAGGACCCAACAUUUUGAAUUCCCGAGAAUAAGUUUUUUAUUUAAAAUUUGUGAAUUUAUUACAAAACAAAUAUUUGGCUUUCUAAAUUCACCGAAAAAAAUCGCAAUCCAGUAAGUUAGGAUACGAUCUUUCUCGAGAAUCAUGAGUACCAAAUAUUUUGAAAAUUUAUAAAAUGUGAUGAUUUUAAUGCUUUGAUGCAACCAAAAUAUAUAUAUUCUACAAAAAUAUGCUAAAAUGUUAAUGCAUAACAUGAAACCAUUACCUUAAUUUAAAUUAUAUGUACACGUAUUCACAAAAUAAAAUAUGAUAUAUAAGUAAAUUUUAAACAUAUGUAUAUGCAUAUAUGAAAACAUGUAUAUGAAAGUUAUGAAAAUAAAUUAUAAAAUAUGGAUAGGUAUAAAAACAUAUAAGUAAAUUAUAUUAAUAAAUUAUGAAAAUGUGUAUAUAUAUAUAAGAAAAAUGCAAAAAAUAUAUUUAUAACAACUUUGAAUAGUGUGUAUUUAUAUAUUAUAAAAAAUGUAUAUAUAUUUGAAUUAUAAAAUAUGAAAAAAACUAUAUGAAUAUUAUAAAGUAUAAAUAUAGGUACGUAUAUAUAUGUAUAUAAAACUAAGAAGAAUAAAGUAAUAAUAAAAUAUAUAAGAUAUGUAUAUGUAUUUAAAACCAUUUAAAAUAUAUAUUCACAUAUAUAUAUAUAUAUAAUAAGAUACAUAUAUGCAUAUAUAUUUGUAUGGAAAUAAUCGUGAUAAUAAUAAAUGCUAACAAUAAUACAGUAAUAAUAACACAAUUUAACAGUAUUUCACAAAAAUAUAUAUAAAAAAAAUGAUAAGUUAAGGAUUAAUUUGAAAAUAAACAGAGUUUAAAGGUUAAAUUUAAAAAUAGAAAACGAGAAAGGGAGCAAUUCCAGACACGCGCAAUAGGAAGAGGACCGAAAGGGAAAUUUACGCAAACUGCCCAAAACGCUGCACAUCAUUUGGAUCAAUUUGAAACAGAAAUAAAACAUAUUGCGAAAUUUAAAAGAAAUAAAAAAAUGAUUUUAAAAAACUGUAAAAACAAGGGGAUCAAUUGUGUAAAUGGCCCAUUUUAAACCCUAUAAAAUCCCAUUUUAAAACCCUAAAAUCAUUUCCCUUUUCAGCAACAGCAGCCACCACAAGGACUGCUUUCUCCCCCUCUCUGCCGUUUCAACUCCACCUCCAAUCGGCCAUAACAACGAUGGCGCCUCGACGGCGCGCUGCCGCCGAUAAGAUCUUUUCCCCUUCUUCUUUGUUUCGUUUUUGUUUUAAGAACAAGAAGAAAAAAAAACAAGACAGUAAAAAGAAAAACGGAACCCACUGAUUACCUUCAAAAUUCUUUUUCUUUUUCUUCUUUCAAAUAUCCCUCUAUACAAUAUUUCGCCCCCCCAUUUACAGAUUUUCGACCGGUUUAUAUAACCGAAAUAAAGAAAAAAUAAAAUCCAAACAAAAUCAUUAUUUCCUAUUAUUGUUGCGCUGUUAUUUUUGCUAUUUCCUUCUUUCUCGUUGUUGUUUAGUUGAUGUUUGUUGCUGCAGAUGUGUGCGCGACGUGCGCAGGGGAGAGUCAUGCUGCGACAUUCGCGGCGGCGAGGGUGAGGCUGCUGUUGGGAUGUGCGGCUAAGGUUGGAGGCUACUAGGGUUUUUUUUUUGUGUGUGUGUGUUUUAGGCUAAUGGGUUGGGUCUAUUGAAAGGUAUUGGGCUGAAUUUUGGGUUUAGGUUGUAAAUGGUAAUUGGGCCUGCUGUGUUUUUAUUUUGUAUGGGCUCGGGCAGAAAGAAAUUGGGUAUUACAGCUGCCCCUCUUUACUCGUUGUCGUGUAACGGGAACAGAGCAAAGACUAAAAUACCCAAUUAUGCCCGGUUUUACUAAGCCUCGACUUCUUCAGGGCUUCUUUUAUUCAAGUAGCAUCAUUCCUUCCUACUGCAUCUUCAGAGGUACAGGAAACAGUGCUUUGAUCCACUCUACUGCAACGUCAGGGAGAUAGGAUUCGUACCUUGUGGCUUCUCAAAAGAACAAAAUUUGCCAUCUUUAAUCUACUCCACUGUAACUUCAGGGAGAUAAGACUUAUAGCUUCAACUUAUUCUGCUACAACCAAAAGAUAAAUCUUAACGCGAUUUGCUCUACUGCAACUUUAGAGAGACGAGAUCUGAUUUUAAUCCACUCCAUUCCAUCUUCAAGGAAAUAAGAUUGGUUGCUUCUGUCUGCUCCACUGCAACUUCAGGGAGAUAAGACUUAUAACUUCAAUCUACUUCGCCACCAGUAUGGGAAGACAAGAUCUGCUUUCUUCAAUCUACUCCACCACCAGUAUGGGGAGGCAAUAUCUGUUGUAUUUGAUCUACUUCACGCUGAUACAUGAAGACAAGAUUUGUUUUCUUCGAUCUGCUUCGCCACCAAUAUGGGAAGACAAGAUCUGGUAUCUUUGAUCUACUUCACGCCAGUACAUGAAGACAAGAUCUGCUUUCUUCGAUCUGCUUCGCCGCCAGUAUGGGAAGGCAAGAUCUGCUAUCUUUGAUCUACUUCACGCCAGUACAUGAAGACAAGAUCUAUUUUCUUCGAUCUACUUCGCCACCAGUAUGGGAAGACAAAAUCUUCUAUCUUUGAUCUACUUCACGCCAGUACAUGAAGACAAGAUCUGUUUUUUCGAUCUACUUCGCCACCAGUAUGGGAAGACAAGAUCUGGUAUCUUUGAUCUACUUUACGCCAGUACAUGAAGACAAGAUCUGCUUUUCUUUUCAGCCUGCUCCGUUGUUGCUCAGGGAGAUAAGGCUUUAUGAUUUCACCGAUUUGUUCUCUGGGGAACAUGACCUGUAUAAUUCACUUUAUGAACCUAAUUAUGCCUAGUUAUUAGGAUGUCAUGAUCAUAAUAAAUCCAAUGCUCCUAACUAGACAUGUAUGAAUGACAUUUGAAUGAAUGCAGAAUGUCAUGAAAAUGAUAUUUUAACGCUUGAGUUAUUAUUACUCCAAGUUUAUUAAUGUCCUAUCGCUUAAUGCACUAUAACGCCUUUAUGCUCAGUUGGCGAACCUAAUAAGCACUUAACCAGAUUGCCCCCCACUGUAAACCUCCAAGUUUGAUCCACUGGGAUGCAAAAUUUGUACCAUCUUUUCCCGUUGUAACCCAAGAGUAAAAGAUUUGGCCUUUUCUCAAUCCUCUAUUAUCACAAUUCAAGGAUACAUGAUAUGAAACUUUUUGGUCUUUUACACCAUUCCCAGGGUGAUGCACCAAAUGCUCAUGCAUAAAUGAAGAAAUCUUCUCCAAGAACAACUUCUUCUUAUUAUUCGGUGAUCAUUGCUUGCUUGUUCAUUGAAGCUUUGUCACCAACACGACAUCUUACCGUAUUGUUCAAUCGAUGUUUUAGACAGCAAAAACUCAAAGGGAUAGUCUGAAUUUAGACUUUUCCUUAUUAGAUUUCCAACCUGGUGCGUUCUAAACAAUAGUCCUGUUUGAGGUUCCUAUAUUAUUUAGAAGCUUUUAGAGUAAUAUGCAAAACUUCCAUUGUGAAAAUUUUAUUAGUCUAUUAAUCAUUAUUCUAAUGCCACAUACUUGCAAAAAGAUCAUGGAUAAGAAUAGAGUUGGCUCUGAGCAUAGCUCGAAAUGAAUAAAUUAUCAAGGAUAAUAAAAAUGGAUAACAAAGAAAUUGAUUUAGGAAUGCGUGUCUUGGCAAUGAAUGAAGUGUUCCAAGAAUAGCAAAAGUGGUAUAAAGAUUAGGUGCCCCAGACAUCGCAGCUUGAACUACUCUGUACAAACUUUCUGAAGACGAUUUUGAGCUUAACAUGUGUUUAGGAGAUCUAUCAUACUCUAUCGAUGCCCCAAGAUGUCGCAUACCCUUUCCUGCUGAUUCUGGUAUAGCAAGACCACUGUAUAUCCCAUUCUGAUCAGUAUUUGAGCUGCUCUGAUUACUUCAUGCCCCAUUCUGAUCAACAUUUGAGCCGCCCUUUUUCGGGUUUUCAACUCAAAUCCGCUUUGGUCUAAGGCGCCCUUUGCGAGUUUUCACUUUAGCCUCUCUUUUUUUUUACCUCAAGGCUCCCUUUGUAGGGUUUCACCCUGGUCUCUUUUUUUUGACUCAAAGCGCCCUUUGUAGGCUUUCACCUUGGUCCCACAUUUUUUAAGCAGAGUAUUUCCUAACUGAAUCUGAGUUUACAGGACUUUGUAAAUUUUUACCAUCCAUCUCACUCAAGAUCAAAGCUUCUCCAGAAAAGGCUUUCUUUAUAACAUAUGGACCCUUCUAAUUUGGCCUCUAUCUUCCUCUAAAAUCCUUUUGUAUAGGAAGGAUCUUUUUCAACACUAGUUCCCUCUUGUGAAAUUCUUUGGGACGAACCUUCGGGUCUUCCUCUUAGGAUAAAAUGUAGAGAAAUGACAAUUCGACUUCAAUGAGUAAAGCUAUGAUAAGCCAAAGAGGAGGAUAUUGCCCCAGUAAAGAAAGUUUACUGCAUCGUUCAUAGCAUCGAUGUUGAACCUACUGCCCAUUUAUGACAUCAUGCUGUUAUUCAGAUUACAAGCUAGUGCUUAACCCGAGCAUAUCUGGGUAUGACCAUGUGAAGACAUCAUUGAAUUCUUGGGGUAGCUCUAUAAGGUCCCACCUCGUCUUUGUGAUCAUGUCAAUUCACCAAGCUCAUAAUUUCUAAUAAUUCAUCGUGAUGUAGGAUCUGUCUAUCCUCUUAUUCUAUCACCCUCCUCAAGUCUGGAGAUAAGCUACAAUCUAUGUCAUCUUCAAAGUCAUGAGAUCCCUCUAAACACAUGUCUCACUCAAAAAGAAAUUUUGAGUCUCUAGCAGCGUCACUCAUGACAUUGAUAUCUGGGGACCCAUAGUAGGUAUCCGAGAAUAUACAAAAGAAUGUACGAAUAAUAUGAAUGAAUGGUUUGGCAGAAAAAAAAUCCAAAAAAAAUGAAAAAAAUGUAAAGAAUGAAAGAAAAUUUGCUCAAAGAUGAUUGAAAUAAUGUAUUUCAUUAAAAUAAUAAUGUUCAGACGUGAGCCUAUUUCACAAAGAAAACCUUAUUGCUUCUAGGCUGAAAGUAACAAGUGUGUUCUGAACAUUACUCUAACAGACUCUAAAUACUUUAGGGGUUUCCUCCGCAGUCUCAUUAUUUAGAACACCUCUAAGGCAAAUAUCUAACAAGGACCCUUUAAAUUGUGUCUGCAUAUAUGGCAUCGAUGUGCAAAUUUCUCACCACUUCUUCAUACAUUGCAGUCCCUCCAUCCUCAAUCAUGAUUGGGUAGCAGAUUUCCUGCGCUAGACGAGUCACCAAACUUGACAAUACCCAUGUUGAUAAGUCUUUCAACUUGCUUCUUGAAGGUAGUGCAAUUCUCAAUCGAGUGUCCCGUAACCCCAGCAUGGUAUUCACAUUAUGUGUUCGCAUUAUACCAUUCGGGAUACGGAGGUUGUAGAGGCUUCACAUGAAAAGGGGAAACAACAUGUGCAUCAAACAAAUUUUGAUACAGUUUCUUAUACGGUACUGGGAUUGGUGUAAACUGAAACUUCUCAGUCUUCAUGCCGGAAUCUUGCCUCGAUGAAUUCUGUUGAUUACCAACCACCUUUCUUGGCUGACUCACGGUAACUAAUUUAGAGUAACCUGUGUUGUUCACCUCAUUUUCUCUUCUAUUUGAGACUGACCUCUUGUUACUCUCCUUUGUAUCAAUUUUCCCACUUCUUAUAGCAUUUUCGAUCAUUUCACCAUUCAUGACUAUGUCAGAAAAGCUUUUUGUAGCACUUCCUAACAUAUGUGUAAUGAAUGGAGAUUUCAGCGUAUUGACAAAGAGCAUUGUUGUUUCUCUCUCUAAGAGCGGUGGUUGAACUUGGACUGCGACCUCCCUCCACCUUUGUGCAUACUGCCUGAAACUUUCGUUCGGCUUCUUCUCCAUAUUUUGAAGGGUGAUUCUGUCAAGAACCAUGUCUGUCACUUGACUAUACUAUUUCAUGAACGCUUGUGCCAAGUCCCUCCAUGAACCAAUUGUGGUACGGCUCAGCUAAUUGUACCAUUUAGAUGCUGCCCCUGAAAGGCUAUCCUGGAAACAAUGUAUCAAUAGCUGGUCAUUGUUAACGUAUCUAGCCAUUCGCCUGCAGAACAUGGUGGUAUGAGCUUCUGGGCAAGUUGUCCCAUUGUACUUCUCGAAUUCAGGCAUCUUAAACUUAUGAGGGAGAAUUAGAUCUGGCACUAAACUUAGCUCUUUUGCGUCAAUGCCUCGAUAACUUUCAGUAACUUCCAUUGCCUUGAACUUCUCUUCGAGCCACCUGCAUUUUUCUUCCAACUGUUUCGGUAACUCUUCCUUCAUUCUUUCCUUUUCAACCACUUCAUCAAAGUCAGGAAUGGAAGAGUUAAUAGGAUUAUUUUCAAGAUUAAAACCCGGCCCAAUUUGGGGGUUCAAAAUACUAGCUCGAAAUUGCUGAGGCAUGAUAGUGACAGUAGAUUUGCGCGGGUAUUCAGCUUGAGUUUGCUCAUGUGGAGGGGUGAAACCUGGAGGAUAGAAAAGUUCAUCAUUAUUUCCCUCAUCGACAUCCGCCAUGGGGCCCUUUCCUUUGUCACUUCCCUUAGUUAUCAGUCGGGUUAACUUUGCCACUAUAUCCUCUUGAGAUUCCCGCAUCUUCUCAGACAUCUCUUGUUUCAUUUUGUCUAACCGCUCCUGCAUUUGUAGCUGAAGUCGGUCUUGCAUCUCUUUCUGGUACUGUUCGAGCUUCUCUAAUCUCUGAUCCAUAUCUUUUGUCUUUGCUCGAGUGCCGUAUCGGUGUCGGGUUGGUUGGUUGGUUUCCAGGUUAACUGAGCAAUAAUUUUAAUUAAUUAGGAUCGAUUAAAGGUUUUUAAUGCAUAUGAUGCGAUGCAUGAGAUGAAUGCAUAAAGAGACGUUAAUUCUGAUUCAAUUCCAUUUAGAAAACUUUAAUAGAGGACAAAUUUCUUUACAUGAAGCGGAUAUAUAUACGGCUUUGCCCUCAUACUCCAAGCAAAGACAUCUUCUUCUUCUUCAUCCGGAUGUUAAGAUAAACCUCGCGAACUUCCAAAGGAUGUCACUGCUAGCUCCUUCUGCUUGAUUCUGGUCGCAAUCCGUUGUCUGCCUAUCCUCGUAAUGCUCAUUAGCUUCUUUAAUAAAUUUGGAAUGUUGAAAGCUCUUAGACAAUCAUCUUGAAUCCUUGGGCCCCAAAGUAAAGUCACGAAUUCUUCCAAUGCCCUUCUUGUAUUUGUUGGAAUAUAUUCAGGCUGCCGUACUAUUUUCCAUUUUAUCAAGAAACCCGUUUUCUUAUGAUAGGCUUUCUAAAUUAGUAAUCAAACUUGAAUCAACAUCUCUUUUCUACAAUGCAAAUGCAAUGCAAUCAUAACCAAAACAAAACAAAACGGGUUAGUAUCGGGUAUAAACAUUAAAUCCAAUACAAUCAAGAAAUAAUAAAAACUCCUAGUCAGGUAUCUACUAAGGUUUAGAGUAAUUCUACCUAGGGUAAGUUCCUAAGGUUCACUAUAUGCGGUUUAGUUUCUAGAGUAAGGGUACCCGAACCAGCAGAUUCCUCGAUCUUCACCCAUUAUAGGCUCAUGUGGAUCGAGUUCAGUUCAGGGGGAUACAUUUCCCUAUGGCUGCACGGAGAUGAAAAUCUCACGAAGACAUAGGUACGGAUGUAUCCCGGAAGCGGUCCAUUACCUUGCACAGAGGUGAAAACCUUACGAAGGACUAGUUUCUCGUUCCCACUUAAGGGUGAAACGCAAAAUGCAAAUGCAAAGUUGUCAACUUUCAAGAUGAAAAAUCAAUGAAUGCGAAGGGAACUCAUGAAUUUUUAAAACUUUGAUUUUUGACACAAAGACAAACAUAAUCAAUUUUAUGGCUCGACUCUCUAAUGUCCCCAGCGGAGUCGCCAAGCUGUCGAAACCGUUUUUUGAAAACAAAUCUUUUGGUUGUCGACUUUUAAAAACAAAAACUGGAGUCGCCACCGAUCCUUUAUUAAGGUGUGAUCGGCCCACCUUAAAAAUAAAUUUGGUCUGCGAAAUUUGAGAAAACAGGUUCGGGAGUCAGUUACGCACGAGGAAGGAUUAGCACCCUCAUAACGCCUAAAAUUGGUACCAAAUUGAUUUUUGUUAAUGUCUUGAUGUCGAAAAUUUGAAAAGAUUUUAAAAGAAAACUCUUUAUUUCAUGAAUAAAAAAAAAUAAGACAUUCACAUUUCAAAGAAAUAAAACACCACACCCAGUGAGUUAGGGCACAAUGUUUUUAAAUCUUCAAAAUACCCGAAUAUUGCCUUUUGCUUUUGAAAAUUCUUAUUUCGAGAAGAAAAUGUCAUGACCAGUAAGUUAGGACCCAACAUUUUGAAUUCCCGAGAAUAAGUUUUUUAUUUAAAAUUUGCGAAUUUAUUGCAAAACAAAUAUUUGGCUUUCUAAAUUCACCGAAAAAAAAUCGCAAUCCAGUAAGUUAGGAUACGAUCUUUCUCGAGAAUCAUGAGUACCAAAUAUUUUGAAAAUUUAUAAAAUGUGAUGAUUUUAAUGCUUUGACGCGACCAAAAUAUAUAUAUUCUAAAAAAAUAUGCUAAAAUGUUAAUGCAUAACAUGAAACCAUUACCUUAAUUUAAAUUAUAUGUACACGUAUUCACAAAAUAAAAUAUGAUAUAUAAGUAAAUUUUAAAGAUAUGUAUAUGCAUAUAUGAAAACAUGUAUAUGAAAGUUAUGAAAAUAAAUUAUAAAAUAUGGAUAGGUAUAAAAACAUAUAAGUAAAUUAUAUUAAUAAAUUAUGAAAAUGUGUAUAUAUAUAUAUAAGAAAAAUGCAAAAAAUAUAUUUAUAACAACUUUGAAUAGUGUGUAUUUAUAUAUUAUAAAAAAAUGUAUAUAUAUUUGAAUUAUAAAAUAUGAAAAAAAAAACUAUAUGAAUAUUAUAAAGUAUAAAUAUAGGUACGUAUAUAUAUGUAUAUAAAACUAAGAAGAAUAAAGUAAUAAUAAAAUAUAUAAGAUAUGUAUAUGUAUUUAAAACCAUUUAAAAUAUAUAUUCAUAUAUAUAUAUAAUAAGAUACAUAUAUGCAUAUAUAUUUGUAUGGAAAUAAUCGUGAUAAUAAUAAAUGCUAACAAUAAUACAGUAAUAAUAACACAAUUUAACAGUAUUUCACAAAAAUAUAUAUAUAAAAAAAUGAUAAGUUAAGGAUUAAUUUGAAAAUAAAUAGAGUUUAAAGGUUAAAUUUAAAAAUAGAAAACGAGAAAGGGAGCAAUUCCAGACACGCGCAAUAGGAAGAGGACCGAAAGGGAAAUUUACGCAAACUGCCCAAAACGCUGCACAUCAUUUGGAUCAAUUUGAAACAGAAAUAAAACAUAUUGCGAAAUUUAAAAGAAAUAAAAAAAUGAUUUUAAAAAAACUGUAAAAACAAGGGGACCAAUUGUGUAAAUGGCCCAUUUUAAACCCUAUAAAAUCCCAUUUUAAAACCCUAAAAUCAUUUCCCUUUUCAGCAACAGCAGCCACCACAAGGACUGCUUUCUCCCCCUCUCUGCCGUUUCAACUCCACCUCCAAUCGGCCAUAACAACGAUGGCGCCUCGACGGCGCGCUGCCGCCGGUAAGAGCUUUUCCCCUUCUUCUUUGUUUCGUUUUUGUUUUAAGAACAAGAAGAAAAAAAAACAAGACAGUAAAAAGAAAAACGAAACCCACUGAUUACCUUCAAAAUUCUUUUUCUUUUUCUUCUUUCAAAUAUCCCUCUAUACAGUAUUUCGCCCCCCCCAUUUACAGAUUUUCGACCGGUUUAUAUAACCGAAAUAAAGAAAAAAUAAAAUCCAAACAAAAUCAUUAUUUCCUAUUAUUGUUGCGCUGUUAUUUUUGCUAUUUCCUUCUUUCUCGUUGUUGUUUAGUUGAUGUUUGUUGCUGCAGAUGUGUGCGCGACGUGCGCAGGGGAGAGUCAUGCUGCGACAUUCGCGGCGGCGAGGGUGAGGCUGCUGUUGGGAUGUGCGGCUAAGGCUGGAGGCUACUAGGGUUUUUUUUGUGUGUGUGUGUUUUAGGCUAAUGGGUUGGGUCUAUUGAAAGGUAUUGGGCUGAAUUUUGGGUUUAGGUUGUAAAUGGUAAUUGGGCCUGCUGUGUUUUUAUUUUGUAUGGGCCCGGGCAGAAAGAAAUUGGGUAUUACAAAGUGGUUUGUUUUCGAUACAUUCAUAGGUCAGCCAAUGGGAUAGUACACAUGCUUGCCUAUUGGUCUUUUCGGGAGGAUUUUUUUUUUUUUUGGUUUAAACCAUCCGAAUGUCAUUCACCAAAUUGUGUUAGAUGAUGCUAUGAAUUUUUAUGUUUGGAUUUUGAUUAAAAAAGUUUAUAUUCUUGUUUGGAUUUAAAAUUUUCAAUCAAUUUUAAUUUGGCAUGAUGCCAAAAAUAUCCCCUAAUGUUUACAUCAUUAAUCACUUUAGUUCUUUUUUUUUUAAACAUUUUAACUCUCAUUCUUUCAAUUUUGGUCAAACUCUCAUUCUUUCAAUUUUGGUCAAACUGAUAAUUUUUUUAACAAAAUUGCUGACGUGGUUGUUAGUUGAUUAACGGUUGACAUGAUGAUGCGUCGUCGAGAGCACAAAAAAUAUUCUAUCCCUAUAAAAUAAUGAAAAGAAUAGUAUAAGGGAAGUAGAGUCAAACCCUCAGGGACUGGAUUUGCACAAGUUCCUGUUUCUUGAGAUCUUGGGCAGAGUCGUGCCCAAGAAAAACAACAUACCUGGAAAAAAAAUAAAAAAAUAAAAAAAUAAAAUUAAAAGUUUGGUUGAAUUGAGAUUACGUAAAUUGAAAUUAAAAUUGUAAAAAUAAACAGAGUUGAGAAAAUAGAGUUUUUUAUGUAAAGAUUUCAGCCUCUGGUUAUCUCGAUCCUCAUUGGGUUCAGUCCUUGGCUUUUAGAUGAUCAUUCUCAAACAGAAUAAGCCAGUUAUAGUGGAAGAGGACACCUAUGACCACCAACUCCACUUAGAUUUUAGACUUACGAUUUAGAAGAACCUGACUCUAGCCAACCGUCGCUUUUGUGGGAUUGUCUUACACUAGAUCAUCACCUCUCAAUGGCGAAUGCCACGCCAUUUUGUCUCUUGGGCUCGACAACUACUGACACAGUAAGCUAUCCAACCGACUGUGCAACCUUUCCAAAACAUACAAAGCGGCCGCCUUUGCACAAGAUGAAAAGAUCACUUUUGAAGGGACAUGGACGGAAGCGUCAAUCCCGUAGUACGGGGAAACCAUGAAUAUUUGUUGAGAAGACUAAGUACAGAUUCUAAGCCUCGUGAACCCUUUUUGGGGAAUCUCGACGACCUUUGGCUAGAUGAAUUUAGUGGCUUAUGCUUUUUGGGGAAAAAGAAAUAAACUUAAUAAAAAUGGAAUUUUAUUGAAUAAAUGAAAGGAACAAAAGCUAGAACUUUUUAGGAGAGGUAGCUUUUACAGAAAAGAUGAGUCAAAUUUGUAUCACUCCAUCCCCUAUUUAUAGUACUUAGAAAACUUAGUUUAUUACUAUCUAAAUUCUAAAAGAUAAAUAAAGAUAAAAGCUGAAAUUAAAUCUAAAUAAUAAUUUUAACAAUAAUCCUAAUAUAAUUAAAAUUUAAAUAGAGUCUUGUGUUUAUAAAAUCUCUUCUUUGAACUUUUACCCCAAGUCUUCCACACUUUGUAUUUUUGGCACCACUUCUUUCCUAUUUCACAUGCUGGCCCAUUUUAUCUUCAAAUUCAUGUUUUUUCCCCCUAAAUUCCCUUUUGCCUUCAAUUUAGUCCCUACAAGAUAAAAAAUCAUAAAUAGCUCAAAUUAGUAGGAUCAUACUCAAAAUAAAUAUGUAAUUAAUACAUAAAAAUGUCAUUCCAGAGUAUUAUCACAUGGUGAUCACAUAUGUUGUUUACUGAUGUGUCGCUAUUUUAUCUUAUAUGUCAUAGCAGCAAAACAAUUAAAAAUUCAAAAAUAAUUAAGAAAAAAAAUAAAUGUUUUUUAAAAUUAAUUUAUAUUGUUUUUCAGUUUUUGAACCAUAGUACCACCAUCAAAACUUCCUUUUUUUUUCUUUUAAUUGUAACUUUCUUUAAUUUUCAUUAAUGUUCUAAUUAAAUACAACCAAAACUUGUUUUUUUUUUCUUCUCCCUUCUCUUUCCCUUCAUAUUUUUCUUUGUUCUGAAGCGACCCAGAAACAGCAGUCACAAAAACUUGUUUCGGAUCGUCGCGCCAUUGCCACCAGCAGUGGUCAGGAGUCAGGUUCUCCAAAAAUUGCCCUGAAUUACAUAAAUAUGUGCAUGAACGUUCGAACUUCUCCUUGCCGGAUCUCAAAAUCCGACCGUCAGAAUACUUAGAUUCUAAGGUUUCAAGCACAACAUAAAUACUGUGACUAGUAAUUUGAGUAAGGAAUACACAAACGGCACAACCAAAAAAAUGCAAGACUUAGCCCCAACUGAAUUGAUGAAACUCUGAUUGCUUCAAUGGUCCAUACAUCUAGCAUUAGCCAAGCACACCGUGAUUAAGUUUUUUAAUUUAGUUUUGAUUUUUUUUUAAAAUUUUUGAAAAUAAUAAAAUGAUAUAUUGUAGGAUUUUUGAGACCGCAAAAAAUAAAUUCCUACUCAAAUGCAAAUUUGCAAACAACAAUGAUAAAGGUUGAAUUCACAUUUUGGUGAUUCUAUUUCUUCAAUAAAAAAAAAUAAAGAUGAUGGGGGAUUUUUAUAAAACUAAAAUUUAAACUAGAACUAAAGAAAAUUAAAUUUCAAACUAAAUAGAAAAACAAUAAAGUUGAGGGAAAAUCAAUAACGUGAAACUUUGGUCAAAAUGUAAAAUUUCCGUUCGAUUCAUGAGUUUGAUCAUUGAAAAAAAAGAUGAUUUUCAGUGUGCUUUAAUAAAUUGAUUAUAGUUCCCGAUGAUCGCCUAACAACCAAUUUAUUCUCACAUUCUCGAUAAUUAAGACAAUCGCAAUUAAUUAAUUCCCUUAUCGAUAAACAAUGACAUAAGGACCACUUUGGAUUUAAUCUAUCAAUUGCAUUAAGAAUGAAAGAGAUCCAAUUCUAAUAAACAAACAUACAAUCAUAGUUUAUUUAAGUUAGAUCGAUGUCCACACAACAUAGAAUGCAUAUUUUUGUCAUACCCCCUAUGUUGCUUAGUAUUCAAUUACUAAUUUAACAAUUCUAAUUGACAAGAAAAAUAUUCUAAGCAAUUGAAUACAUGUCAUAUAUUCAACAAACCUAAAUAUUUACAAUUAAAUUAUAAGACAUGCGAAUACUAAAGAACAAAGAAAGAUGAAGAACAUUUUAGAUGUGAAAAAUUUAGCAAUUCAUGGAGAAAAUAAAACACAAAUAAAAAUAAUGUUAAGGUGGCUAUGUCUAGGUAUGUCGGUCUAACCUAAUAAUGUCUAUUUAUAGAGCAAAAUCACAUAAUGAAAAAAAAGUUGUCAUUAAUUAAUUAAAGUAGGAAUUUUCUAGGUUUAUUGACAAUUUUUGUGUCAAAAUUUCAGGCCAAUUUUAGACACCUUCCCAACGUUUUUUGGGCUUGAGUUGAGAUAACUUUUGUUAGAUAUUUUGAUUCCCUUUGAACCAGUAUAUUAAGGGCUCAAGACAAAGUUAUGUAGGUGAAGUUAUGAUCAAAAUUCUGAAGCACUGUUGUAUUGAAAGUCCAAUUUAUAAAAACUUGUCAAAGAUAAAUUUAGUUCUUUUUUUAUUCAAUUAUUCUCUAAAUCCAUAAUAAAUAAAACAUAAUUCUUAAUAAUAUAAUCAAUGAUUUAAAUAGCAUAAUUCAAUAAAAAAAAUAUCAUCAAUAAUUGAAAAAUUAUACGCUUAUCAAAUUCUCCUAUACUUAGAAGUAUGAAACUAAUGAAAAUGCAUAUGCAUAUGCAUAUGCAACCUAAAGAAAUAUUUAUAACUCAAAUAAACAAUUAACAAUAUUAUUAUAUUCCAAUGGAACAAGCAAAUAUGUUUCCAUGAACACAAUUGAAAUUCUAUAUUCUAAUAAAAAAAAUAUAAGAGUAUCAAUAAUUUAUAGAAGGAUUUGAAUCAAUAAAUCUUUGUGCUUGUGUGUGAUUAUCCUUCCUAACAAUGUACGAUGUAUAAGAAAUACUAGAAUAAUCAAGAAAACAUAAUCAAAUUUUAACAUGCUUCCUGGGUUACUUAGGACUUUAAAGGUUAAGGUCAAAUAUUAAAGAAAAAUUAGGCUCAUACCCUAAGCACCUAGUUAUCUUUGGAUUCAAUUGAGCAUUAAAUAGCAAAAUCCUUUUUCAACAACUCUUCACUCAAUACCCUUAAACAAGCAUGAGAUAAAAGUGAAGCUCACAAUAUUUAAGAAUCUACACGAUUAAGCAUUUAUAUUUUUUUCUUUCAUUACUUAAUAGUUAUUCACUUCUUUAAAUUUAGGACAAUUACUUUUGAAUGUAACUGUAGAUGACAAUCCAAGCACCUACCUCGAAUUACUUAAUUAAUUACACUUAAAUAGCUUUUAGCUUUAAUCAUAACUACAUUAGUGGACAUACAGACAAGCACCAAACCUUUUAACUUGAAAAUAAAUGACAACCCAAGACCUACCUCUAAUUACACAAUUUAGCUACUAAUUCUUUUUAAAUCUUGUGAUGUGGCUAUCAGAAUAAUCAUACUCAUGCUUUUAUUACCAAAGGUAUUCAAUGAAGCACAAACAUGAAUCCUUUUAAUUCAAUACUAUAAGCUCAAAAUUAAAUCUAUAAGUACUAAAUACUUAAAAAAGCAUCAAAACAAUGGUACACACUUUCAAGGGUAAAUGUUAAAAUUUAAGCAAUUAGGCACAUGAGUUAAGUUAAAGAAACAGAAUGAUAUAUUAGCUCAACAAAUAGGCUCAACAGUUCAAAUAAUGAAAAAAAUUUGCCUAAUUUAUCCAUUAUAAGCAUGUACCAAACAAGAUUGUUUUCUUGAAAAUUUCAAAACUGAUUAUAUAAAGCACAUCAUUAAGCAGGACUACGUAAAUUAAAAAAUAUGUAUCAAUGAAACCAUAUGAAAAAUUCAUUAUUCUAACAAUCAACCGAAUGGCAUAAAUCAAUGUGCAUAACUAUAUCAUGAAUCAAUAUAGAUCUUGAAAAUAUUCAUUAUAAUAAAUUCACAAAUUUCACGAGCAUAUAUAAAAUAUUUUAAUAUCCCACAAAGUUAAGAAUUCAAUGUAACUAUUAUACAUCAUGCAAAAAUUGAAAAAAAAUGAAAUAAAACAUGCAGCAAUAAAAUAAAAUAAUGACCUAAAAAUAAUGCAAACUAAAUGACUCUCCCACACUUAGGUUUAGUUUGGAUGGGUGGUGUAUUUACCUUUGUUAAGGUUAAAAAUAAUGGUGGUAGUGAAAUUAAUUACUGUAGCGAUAAGAUUGGAUACUAUAGCGGAAAGUUAUAAACAAAUGUGGGGUGUGUGUUAGGAUUCAAACCCAAUCGUAGUAGUGAGGUAAAAAUAAAAAAUAACUAUUAAGGACAUUAGAUUAAAAAUAAUAUAUUAUAGAAGUUUUUUAAUUCAAUCGUAGUGAUAAAAAUAAAGUGAAAGUAUAAAAUAAUCAUUAAAAACAUUGGAUUAAAAUAAGUAUACUUUUAAUAAAAAUUCAAAAUGAUUGGAAUUAUAUUUAUAUUAAAUAAUAUAUUAUAAAUUAAAAUUAUUAAAAUUGUAUUUAUAUUAAGAAAUUGUUAAAAAGACUAGUGAAAAGGCAUAUGCUCUAAGAUUCUAUGUCACUGAUGAUAGUUGUAAAUCCAAACGGAUCCUUACAUUGUACUCAUUGUUCCAAAAGUAAGCAAAGACUUAGGACACUUCCCUAUUUAAAUGCUAAAAAAAAUAUCAUUUAUCCCAAAUUCGUUCUAUUAAGUGAGAUAGUAGCUACGAUAAAAAAAAAGAAAAUAAAAGAAACAAAAAAAAAAACUAAAAAAAAAAAACUCAACCAAGUGUAGUCCAAGAAUUAAUAUAAUUAUCGCAUCCAUCUUCCUUUCUGUAUGUUCAAUAAGUAAGUCCAACAACAACAACAACAAGGAUUUAACGAAAAUAAAAACCAAAUAACAAAUUUUUGAAGUUGCUCACUUGAUCUACUGUUGCAACUUUUCUAUUCUUUCUCUUGAUUUCAAAGAAAAAUAGAAAAAAAAACAACAACUAAGGCUAAUAAAAUGGCUUUUAGGAGGUCAGAUUUAAGGUUAUAAUAUUAAGUAUAAAUAUUCAAAAUACCUUUAAGCCUGAGUUUGGACAUUCACUCCACAAAAACAUAGAAAAAACUUGAGCGGGGAUUGUCUCCGUGCGCGCCAGGGCUUGACAAGAGCGCUGCAGUACUGAUGGAAUGCGGCAUGGGGGCAAGAUGUGAGUGCUGGAGCGCCAAAACGCGCGGGAGCGUGUGAAUUCCGUGCGCUGGGGCGCGCUAACUUUCUGGGCAAGGGUCGAGUGUAGUGGGGGGGUAGGGAGAUUUUCAGUACUAAUUUCAGAAAUUGUAACUGAAUAUAUUACAAUUUCGCAAAAGAGUUACUUUGAUUUAAUUCAAGUAAUUUUUUCGUAAAUAUAAUAAUCUUAUUUCAAAUUCACGUAAAUAUAAUAAUCUUAUUUCAAAUUAGUUAAAUAAAUUCAGAAUUAGUUUUUAUUUUAUAUUCAAAUUGAGUAUUUUUGUUUAUUUUUAAAUUAGAAAAAUAAAAAUUUAGGGAGGAUCAUCCUUGCAAAUAAAAGAUGCAGCUGACUAUUCUAUGAUAAAAGCAUAGACUUGUUUGUAUUCAAUCUCUUUUUCUGAAUGAUAAAUUGGGUAAUGAUUAUUUUAAUCAAUUAAGUAUAUAACUAAAUGAAUUACAUAAGUGUUGAUAUAGUGAUUAUGUAUAUAGGAUAAACACAAAUUUAAAUUUUGAAGACAAUAUUAUUAACAACAGCAAUUACCAACUUUAAACAUAAACCUUAAAAAAACAAAGUUGGCUGUUGGUAGAGGCAUUGAAGUCCAAGUUAAAAGCCAUUGCAUGGAGUAGAAAAACACUAACAAAGUGGAGCAUUUACAUGCUAUAGUAGCCUAAAUCAAAAUUUACAUGUCAUAGCCCUAGAAUUUUUCAAACAAAGUUAAAACAUUUAUCAAUUAUUCGUAUUACCUAAUGGAAGAAUAUUUGAUAUAUUGGUAGUACAUAAGUCUCAUGUAUUAUUGGUGAAUAAUAAUAUGGCACCUUAUCAUUAAAUAAAAUAAAAAAUAGUGGAGGACUUAUAAAUAAAUACUAAUAACUUUAUUUAAACAUAAUUAAUUAUAAGUAAAUAUUAAAAACCCUAAAUCCUAAAUUCGAGAUCCUACCCCCUAAUUCCCAUACUUUAAACACUUAAAUUCAAUAUCCUAAAUUCGAGAUGUUAUUAAUAUUUAUUUAUAAUAAUUAUGUUUAAAUAAAAUUACUAGCAUUUGUUUAUAGGUCCUCUAUAUUUUUUCAUUUAAUUCAAUGAUAAUGUAUCAUAUUAUUAUUUAUUGUUGGUGCUUAAGACUUAUACAUCGACGAUAUAUCUAAUGUUAUUUCUUAGAUAAUUUUGUAAAUGACAAUUGUCACUUCUUUUAGUAAUUUGUUUUAUGGUUGAAAAAUAAAAUUCAUUAAUAAAAUUUAAAAAGAAAGUAAGUAGAAUCGAUACCAGAGGAUCAACAAAAAAGAAAAAAAAAACCCACAAAUUGAUAGGAACCACACUUAAUAGAAAAACUAGAAACAUAAGGCUGCAGUAUAAUAAGAUCAAACAGAACAUCAAGCUACACACUAGGUCUCUACACAGAUCAAACAUCAAGCUGCAGUUAAUCAAACAUCAGUCAUGUUUUCUCUACCGAGUGAAAUUUCACCUGAAACAUAUGAUUUUCAGUAAUACACCUAAUGUGAUAAUCCUCAUGACAAUGAAAUUUGUGUCACCAAUAACAAAUAGUAACAUAAUAAUUUUUAGUCACAAUAUUUUAGAUGCCAUUGAUAAGAAAAUUUGUUGUAAUGCCUAUAGAAGCAGGUCUGAAGCACAUCCCUUAAUCAAGCAUUGACUCUAUAUUCUCUUCAUGAAACUGCUCCUUUCUAAUAAAAAAAAUCAUGGCUUCAAGUAUUGUCGAGCACAUUAUAGAAAUUCUUGAAAAACACACAUAAAAAGGAGAUUGAUAUUGGGCUAGCAUCCACUUUUUAAUAAAUUGAUAGAAUAUAGAUUAUUAGUUACUGAAUUCGUAUAAUACAGAUGAUUAGUUACUGAGUUCGUUUCAAUGAAUACUUUAAGAGAAAAAAAUUGAUUUGAAACAAGUGAGCGCUCAAAAAACCAAACCUUUGCUGCAAUAGAAACCAAGCUGAACUCAAAAACAUCAUCAUUGAGACACCACCAAGAACCAAAUUCAUGUUGAAUUAGAAAGACUGUGAUGCACCAAAAUAUUUCAACGAGAAGGAACUCCGAAACAUACACCAAGAUUUUUGCAGCGGAACACCCGAAAACAGAUGAAGAGGAAUUUCUAAGUAGCUAAAGAGACUCCAAAGCAACCUGGAAAUCAAUUUGAUGCCCAUUUUUACUUCAUCUUGAACCAAUCCACAAAGAUUUAGGGCUUCAAAUGCCUUCAGUAGUCAAUGCAUCAGUAAUCAAAAAAAUUUCAAAUUUGAAUAAUUUUGGGUUCAAUUCACUUAACAUUCAAGUUAUUCAGGCUUGGAUUAUUGAAAUUAAUUAAUCUCUAAUUCAAAGAAUCUUUUUUUUUUCCUUGUACCAAUAUUUCUUACAUUUUUCUGACAUCAUUGUAGUUAAAUUAUCAAAAAUGUUCUCUCUUGUUUUUGUAAGCCAACGGUAUUAUAUUAAGAACCUAAAAGAUUAUAAAGCUAUUUAAUAAUAUAACAAAAUUCUAAAGCCACUAAUAUGAUUUUUUCUUUUAUGGUAAGCAUCCUAAAAGGGGUUGCAUGAAUGUACCAAAAACAAUAUAUACAAUAUGAUAUUAUAUCUGUUAAAUUGUUAUCAGAAAGAUCAAUGUACAGGAGAAAAAUUUAUUAAUAUUUUUUUAGUAUAUCCAUGAUUUCUUUGUUGAGCACUAUAGGCUUAUGCUUUCUUUUCUUUUUUUCUUUUUAACAAUGUAAAUUUCGUUCAAUUUAAUAGUACUUAAGAUAGCACCAAACAAUUUAAUUAAAAUGAAAAGAAACCUCAAAUUUAUAAAUCCCUCAUAAUAAAAAAGAACUGACGCAUCUGAAAAAUUGAGUAUAUCAUUAUAUGAAAUUAUGAAAUAUUGAAAUAAAUAUUAAAUGAGAAAGUUUAGAAAUUAUGUGAUUAUUGAUUUUGUGACGAGUAAAGACAAUGUAAAUUAAUGUAUUUGCAUAUCUACUUUAGUUUUUUGUUGCAUCUACCAUUUUAUUCAUUUUAGCAAGACGAAGGUGAUAAUGUAAAUUAAUGUAGUUGAUAUGUUGUAAAUUAAAUUAACCCAUUUAAUGUAGUACGUACAUUUAUUGUUGUUGAAUUAAUUCAACUGAUGUAGUGGGGUAACAUUUGCUAUGACUUGAUUUAUUUCAAAUGAUAUAAGAAUGUGGUUUGUCAAUCCAAUUGGCACAUUCAAUUGAUAUGGUGAUAAUUUACUUUCAUUUAUUCACAAUCAUAUUAUUAAAAUAUUAGUAGCUUUGAAGAAUCUAAACGUAUCCACACGUAUCUAAUCGUAUUCGCGACGUGUCCAUAUCGGACACUUGUGCGACACCGGUAUGACAACUGUUUUACCGUGUCGGUGCUUCAUAGUUUACAAGUUUAGAUCCAUAUAUACAAAUUUUCGGACUCUAAAUAAGUUUUGGCAGCUCUAGAAACAAGGUCAAGGAAAAACACUGAUAAAUGAAAAAUGUGCUUCUUCUCUGCCUAUAGUGUUGCCUGCGUCAACAGUAACAGGGUUGCCAUGUGACUCGCCAUGUUGAAAUACAGAUGUGCUACUACAGAAUAGUCAUGAAGUUCCAAGUGGUUGUGCAGGGAUUUGCAGCAUGCCAUAUGAAGAAAAUUGGGUCAACAAUUGCAUACCAUUACGAAGCCAUUCCACUAAUUAAUUUGAGCCCAUUUUUCAUUCGACUGUGACUACUGAUGUCCUCCCAUUUUUCAUUUGAGCCCAAAAAUAAAAAUACAUAAAAGACGGCUGCCGACUUCAACCAUUUCCCUAGUUACUUUCCAAACCCAUUUAUUUUACUUAAUAUUUUUUUCGUACGGAAAAAAUGGAUUUAAAUUUAUUUAAUGGGGCCCGUCAAUAUCAAGGUGACUUAAACCUGUGUUCCAUGGGAAUCACCUAAACCUGUGUCCGCAAGCAAGAAUUGUAUAGUUUAAUUGAACUUCGAACGAUAUAACCAAUGGUACUAGAAACAAAAAAGUUCCAUGAUAUUAACUGUCUUUGGUCACCAAAAAAGAAAAACAUCUCUCAUGGAUUUCUCUGCUGUUUCUUCUGCUCUCAAAACAAUUGACAAGCUAACACGAGAAGUCACAUCCUUGUGGGGAGUCGAUGAACAAGUUGAGGGCUUGGAAAGUGAGUUGAGAUGGAUGCAGAGCUUCCUGAAGGUGGCAGAUGCAAGAAAAGUUGACAAUGAGCUGAUACGUACCUGUGUUGUUGAGAUCAGAGAAUUGGCCUACGAUGCUGAAGAUGUGAUCGAGACGUUUUCCCUCAAAGUUGCGUCCAAAAGGAAAGGUGAAUUUUCAAAUUGCAUCAAAAGAUCCGCUUGUUUCCUCAAGGAGGGAUGCCUGCUCCACAAAAUCAAGUCAGAGAUAGAAAAAAUCACAACCAGAAUCAAAGAAUUGACUAGACAAUUGAAGACGUAUGAUGUAUCGAAGUUAGGGGUUGAUGGAGAAGAACCAAGUUCUUCAACUGAAAGGCGGGAGGCAAGGCGGCCUUAUCCUCAUGUUAUGGAUGAUAACAUUGUUGGAUUGGAUGAUGGCAUCAAGAAAUUGGUCACAGUUCUUCUCGAUGAGCAAAGUGAAUGUAGGGUUGUCUCCAUAUGCGGAAUGGGUGGUCUGGGCAAGACCACUCUUGCCAAGAAAAUAUAUCACCACAGCCAAGUUGUUGGUCAUUUCAAGCACUUGGUUUGGGUAUAUGUUUCUCAACACUGUCAAAAAAGAAAAGUUUGGGAAGAUAUUCUAUCUGAUCUUCUCAUCUUAAGUGAAGAAGACACUAAGAUGAAGGUUGAAAAAUUAGCAGAGAAGUUGUCUAGUUUCUUUGAGGAAAACAAAUGUUUGGUGAUACUCGAUGAUGUUUGGAACACCGAGGCUUGGGAUAGCUUAAAACCAGCAUUUUCAGCAAGGGAGACGAGAAGCAAGAUCUUAGUCACCUCUCGGAACAAGGAGAUAGUUUCACAUGCCGACAAAAAUGGUUUCCUAUAUGAGGUGCAGUGCCUAAACUACGAACAGAGCUGGGAACUAUUCCAAAAGAUUGCAUUUCCCCCAUCAAAUUCUACAGGUAAUAUAUAUGUUUAUUGAUUUCAUAAUUGUGAAAUUAUUCUAUCUUAAUAUAUAUAUUUAACUUUUCGCCUCUUUUAACUCUUAAACUUGUAUCGUUUGUCAAAUUAUCUCAAAUGGAUGGAAAAGUUAACAUCUGUUAACUUUGUUGACGCAACAUCCACAUUGCACACGUGACAUCCAUGUGUAUGCCACUUCAACAAAGUUAAGAAAUGUUAACUUUUUCAUCCAUUUUCGGGAUAUUUGACAAACAACUCAAGGACUAAAAGACGUAAAAAAUUAAAUAAAUGACUAAAUAAGUCAUUAUGCCUUCUAAAUUUGUUUCCGAGUUUAUGUCUUGCCUCCAAAAGUUUUCCAAAGUUUCUUAAUUUGAUUUAUUGUAUGAAUUUUGUAAAUUUUUAUGAUAAAUUUGAUAAUAUUAAUUUGUAGUUUAUUUUGGUAAAUUUAUUCCAACUAGUAUCUAAAUAUUAAUUUAAUGAAAAAUAAAAUUAAAUAAUCAUAAUAUCUAAUACAAAUUGAUAAAUUAAUUUAUUUUGAUUUUUUUUUCUAAAUGUUAUUUUGGUGGCAAGAUUAUCCCAAAUUUGAAAAUAUCACAAUCUUAUUUAUCAACAUUUCUAGUUUCCCCUUGCUUUUUGCAUCAUUUUAUUAUAAAUAUGUAAUUUAUAUGAAAGUAUGAAUUUGGAGAAACUUUUGAACGGAUCAAAGUACCCUUUAUUUUUCUUUAUCAUAUUAUUAAAAUAACUUUAAAAAUAAUUAAAUUUAAUUUAGAAUCAUUAGUUAAAAAAAUUGUGCUAAUUUAAAAAUAAAGUUACUACUUGAAUAAACUCUAAGCAUAAAGUAUCUCUAUAAUUUGUAUUUAUAAUCUAUAAUCUUAUAAAAGUUGAAAGAAAAACUUUUGCAUUGACCUUCUAUUUUUAUCAAAUUACUAAAUUAAAAUUUUAAAAAAAGUUGAAGUAAACCAGAAGUUAACAUAAGUAUACAUUUAAAAAUAAUUAUAAUUUAAUUUUUAAUUAAAAAUAUUGUACUAAUUUUAAAAUAGAGUUAUUACUUGAAUGCAACUUUAAGCAUAAAAUAUAGGAAAAAAGUUAUAUAAUUAUUUUUUAUGCAAAAAAGAAGUUGUGUUAAUUUUAUUGAUGUAAAAUAGAAUUAUUAUUUAAUUAAAUUUAGAGUUAAUUAUAUUAAUUAGUUAUUGUUUUGAAUAAUUUUUUUAUUCAUUAAUUACAUAAAGUAAAACUAUAUUAUAUGUUGAAUAUGUUAAAAAUAUUUUGAUGAUUUGAAAAUUUUAUAUUGUAAUAUUUGAAUCGAUAAAUUAAUAUAUUUUAAUGAUAUUCAAUAAUUUAAAUAAAAUUUUACAUUAAUUACUAAAAUUAAAAUAAAAUAUUUUAAAAUUUUGAUUAAAUAUUAAAUGUGUAAAUCACAUAUAACGCUUAUAGUAAUAGAAACUAGUAUAACUUUUAGAGUAAUUAUUGCAUUUUCAUGAAGUUGAUUAAAUUUUGAUAUUUUUUGAAGAAAUAAAAAUAUUGUAAAACUAGUUGUUUCAAUUAUAGAGAUUUACUAAUUAACUUUCAUUAAUAUCUAAAUCUUGAUUCAUUUAAGAAAUACAUAAUCACUCAUAACAGAUUUGUAGUAAAUUUUCUUUUCUCAAUUUAGAUUAAAUGAUUAUAAUUUAAUUUAGAUUUAUUAAUUAAAAAAUUGUUAAUUUUAAAAUAAAGUUACCACUAAGUAUAAAAUAUCUUUAAUGUAUUUAUAAUCUGUAACCUAUCUAUAGUUCAUAUAAAAUCACGAUUUAUGAUUGCUCCUCGUGAUAGUUUUAGUUGAUCUACUUUCUAAUUUCUCUUAUUAAAAUAAAUCCUUAAAAUAUAGUACAAUUUAUUUGUUUUUAAUAACUUCUAAAAUUGUUAAAUUAGUGGUAAAAUUGUAGUUAAUUACUGAAAUGUAAUGUUGUGGGUAACUUGCAUCUUGCCCCACUAAUUCUUUGAAAUUGUUUAGGAUGUCAAUGUUGCGGUUAAUUACUAAACUGUAGUCUAUUUUCAAGCUAUCAUUGAGUUUUUUGAAACCUUGUUUUGGUAUUAUACAGGUUAUAAAAUUGAUGCGAAAAUGAAAGAUUUAGGAGAGGACAUGGUUAAAAACUGUACAGGGCUUCCAUUAGCCAUCAAUAUAUUGGGAGGAAUUUUGGCUACAAAGUAUCCUUCAUUAACUGAAUGGCUGAAGGUAUCUGCAAAUGUGAAAUCAUAUUUGAAGAAUGAUCAAGGUGAAGUACUAAGAAAUGUGUUGGCAUUAAGUUAUGAUGAUUUGCCUCCCUAUUUAAGACCAUGUUUUCUUUACUUAAGUCACUUUCCAGAAGAUUAUGAGAUACCUGUGGAUAGAUUGAUUCAGUUAUGGGUUGCCGAAGGUAUUGUUUCAUCAAAGCAAGAAGAAGGAGAUGACGGGCAAAUAGCGGAAGAUGUGGCUGAAGGUUAUUUAAUGGAGCUUGCAGAAAGAUGUAUGAUUCAAGUACAAGAAAGAGACAUUGCAACCUUAAAGAUGAGAAGUUUUCAGAUGCAUGAUCUAAUGAGAGAUGUUUGCUUGUCCAAGGCAAAACAACAAAAAAUCCUCUAUAUUGCCGAUCAGUCAAAUGCAUGCCAGUUAUCCACAAUUGGGAGGGUUCGCAGAGUUUCUGUACACAAAUAUUUUUCGAUCCAGUGCAUUAAAAGUCCACGGCUUCGAUCACUUUUGUUCUUUGAUAAGUUUCUUCCGAACGGGGAACAAGAUAAGAUUUUGAAAUCCAUUUGUUUGGAAAGGUACUUCGACAACCACGAAGGUGAAGUUUGCAAUCCACUUGUUUUGUUUGGGACACUUUUAGGUCUUAGUGUGUAUGUUACUAAACUUAGGGGAAUUUGGAAAUAUAUGUUCAAUAAUUUUAAUUUUCUUAGAGUCUUAGAUUACGAAAGGGGAGGAGCUGCAGGAUGCAAGUUACCCAAUGACAUUGGUAAACUCAUCCAUUUAAGAUUCUUGAGAUUAAGGGGUCUUGACUUCUUGAAUUCAUCGUUGCCAUCAUCUCUAAGCAACUUAAGGUGCUUGCAAACAUUGGAUUUAAGAAUCAAAACCCUUUCGUUUUUUAAAAUUAUUCAUGUACCUAACGUGUUAUGGAGGAUGCAGCAACUAAGACAUCUAUAUCUCCCCAAGCAUUGUAGUCCUAAAACAAGGUUGAAGUUGGGUACUCUAAGAAACCUCCAAACACUUGUCAACUUUAACACCAGGAAUUGUUAUGUAAAAGAUCUUAUAAACAUGGCAAAUAUUAGAGAGUUGGAGAUUCGGGGGCCUUUCAUUAUUGAAGAUUUUAACACGGAGGAGUUGGACAAGAAUCCACCUAUCAUCCAAAGUAAAUAUCUUCAUUUCCUGUCUGUCAUCAAUAAUAAAGGAAGCAUAGAUCCAAGACAUUUGGCGCAUCUCCUUUUGAGUUGCGAAAACAUUUCUAAGUUGAGCUUAGAUGUGGAGAUAAGAAGGUUACCAGAGUACCACUACUUGUCUUCAAAUCUCGCUUACAUAAAGUUGAGAAGGUGUGAGCUUGAGGAAGACCCAAUGCCAACACUUGAGAAAUUGCCUUACUUAAGGAUGCUUGAAUUACAUGAAGAGGCUUUCAUAGGAAAGGAAAUGUUUUGUUGUGGACAAGCUUUUGCUAAACUUGAGUCUCUAAGCCUUAAGGAGCUUAACAAUCUAGAGGAGUGGAAGGUGGGUGAAGGAGCCAUGCCUUCUCUUCAGCGAUUGGAGAUACAAAAAUGUAGACAGCUAAAAAUGCUUCCAGAUGGACUGAGGUUCAUUGCAAACCUCCAAGAACUGAAGAUUGAAUCAAUGCCAAAGACAUUCAAAGAUAAUUGGGAGGAAGGGGGAGAAGAUUUCUGCAAAGUCCGACAUGUUCCUUCUAUCAUAUUCCAAGAUUGCGAGUGAUAGUAAUCAUGAUUAAUGCCAGGUACUUCAUAAUCUUUGUUUUUGGAAAUACUUAACCCUUUUGUUUAUAUAUAAAUAUCCACAACCAUUCUGCAUGUUUAGAUUCUUUCUCGAGCAGAUAAUAAUUUUGUUGGUGUUUAAACAUGAAAACUAAGGAGAAUUGAAACAAAGAACGGAUGCAAAGAGAAUUAAACAAGAACUUGACUGAAAAAAUUCAUCUAUCUUUCAUCCAUUAAGUUAAAAUAUAAGUUACAAGGCAGUCACCUAAUAUACAACUGCUCCCACUAAUAACAUGACUAAAACAAAGCUUGAAUUACACACAAAAUGUAGCUGACAUAUCAACUAUUACAUCACAUUGGAAAUCAAACAAAUCAGCAACUAAUCUUACUAACUUUAAAGACAAAUUACAAAUGAACUAAAGCUAGUUACAUAGGAACAAAAUGUUGCUGCUGCACUGGUUCAGCUUCAAUGCUGGUCUGCUGUUGCAUUGCAGGCCAAAGAUCAUCAAAUUAGACAAGAUCCUAGUUUCAGUUCUCAUCGUCCUCUGUUUUUGGUAAUGUUUCACAUUCCCACAGGAUUUGUCAUUUGAAUUAAAAGUGGUAGAAAAUGUUUUCAAUAGGGUGUUAAGCACGCUCGUGAUGGUCAGCAGAUGCAAUUCGGAAGACUGAAAUUAACUGACAUUGUCUUUUAUUUCAAGAUUCUUAAACUACUUCAUAUAAUAUUGACAUUUUUUAACUUUUCCUCUUCAGGUAUAGAAACCAUUGCCAUUUUUUCUAUUCUGUUGCUGCUCGUCAUGGGACCAAAUAUAUUUAAAAAAGUUGUAACAGUACUAUGUGAAAUUGUGUAGGUGGUGUGAGAUUUUUGUAUUGUAAAACUGGAGAUUUAAGAUUAUCUUGUAUUUUCUAUAGAUGUUGUGGAUUCUAUUGUUGUUCACAUGAGAUUGGUUUUUUGUUAUUUUUUAACUAUUCUCAAAUUUGUAAUGUUCCAAAUUAUCUAAAGAUUUUUAAGUAAUUUUCUAUUAUAUAUAGAGCAAUGAUUACAAAAGAAAAGGAAAUACAAAAACAACACCAAUUUCAUAAAUAUUAAUGAUACUGUGGGAUGGUUGAAGUUAGGACAAAAUUUAUUCUUUGCUUAAACUUUCUGCAAGGAAUGGUUGAGAACAUAAAAGAUUGGAUCUUUAUAAAAUUUUAGUUGUUAUUUAGCUUACGAUGAAUACGUGAUUGAGACUUUUGUGCUCAAAAUUGUUGUAUGCGUCAGUGUUGCUUGUUCACUCCAUCCAAGUGAAAUGGUGUGUGACUCAAAUAUGCGCAUGAGCUACAUGGUGAGCGCAACUAGGGCCUUUUACCUUCUUCCGGUCCAGAAAUUAUAUCAAAUAGGUAUUUUCCCUCCCGAGAGAUCAUGGUUGUAGUUAUAUUGUUAUUGUUAUUGAGAGUGAUUGUUAUGCUCUUGUGACUAGACUCAAUAGUAGAACUUUGGACUUGUGUUUAUAUGGUUGAAUCAAUGAAGAGGCCCAUGGACAUUGCUCUUUCUUUUAUUUGGUUUGUUCAUAGGUCAAUGGGAUAGUACACAGCCUUGUGUUUUCGGUUUAAACUAUCCGAAUGUCAUUCACCGACUUGUGUUAGAUGAUGCUAUGAAUUUUUAUGUUUUGGCUUCAAAGGUCCUCUUCUUUCUUUCUUUUUCCUUUAUAUUUUGAUUCCUCUUUCUUUGAUUUUGUUACCUUUCUCUCUGUUGCAGGCUUCCACUUGGUCUUCAUUUGGAGUUUUUUGUUGUUGUUCUUUUUACAUUUUUUGUGGUGUUGGUGGUGUGAAUUUUUUGGUAAAUGGAGUGGUUGUGAGGGGGAUUGGAUUUAACAAUGGUGAGAGUGGAGGGUGGACAGUGACGGUGAUGUGUGCUGGUUAGUUAACUGGAUAAUGGUGAUGGAUAGUGUUGAGAGAGGUUGAUGAUGGUGUAGUCCAAGUGAACAACAAAUUCAAAGUUCUUUUUAAAGUUUUCUGAAAAAAAGAAAGAAGAAAUAAAAUAAAUAAAUUUUUAACAGCUUGGGAAAAUUUAGCUGAAAGACACUAGAAUAUAAAUAAAACAAUUAGGUUUUAAGUAAUUAUUUAAAAAAAUUAUUUGCAUAGAUUUUUUUCUUAAAACUUUCUAUUUUUUAAAAUUUUAUUAUUUCAAAUUUUGAAGUAAUUUUAAUUGUUUUGCUGACGUGUGGCAUAUAAGAUAAAAUAACGUCACAUCAACAAUUAUGCACAUGUACAGUGACAUGUCAGGACUUAGAAAAUGAUUAAUUUGAUAAAAAAAAAUGAAACCAUGGGGAUUAAUUCUUCUUCUUCUCCUUUUUUUUAAUUCAAGCGAUUUGAUUUUGUUUUCUUGAAUAUAUAUUGGUAAAAGUAUCACAAAAUUUCUUGUACUAUAUUUUAGAUUACAUUUUAGUUUCUCUAUUGAAAAAACGGGCGAGCUAACCUCUAUAUGUUAGAUAAGUGAGUAAAAUAGCCCAUCCGUUAAAUUUUAGUUUAAUAUAUAAGAUAUAAUAAUAAAUGUAGCCCUCAAUCUUUAUACAUUCAUUCAAUUUGACCCCUACACUUUUAUUGAAAGUAAAUUGGAAAACUUUAAAACUAAUAAGACUAAAGAGUCAAAAAGGCUUUAAUAACAAAUUAAAAAAAAUCAAUUAAGCCAUUUUAAAAUUUAAAAAUUAUUAAAAAAAUCAUAAAAAUUAUAAACAAAAUUUAUAAAUAAAAGGUUUUAAAAGUUUUAAAAUUAUAAAAUAUUUAUUAAAAAUAAGAAUACCAAUCCAUUAAAAUAUAAUAAUUAUAAGAUUUUAAAAAAAAAUUGACCCCACUCUUUUAUUGGGCCAGUAUUAUUAUUUAUUAAUAAAAAAUAUAAAUUUAUAAUUUUUCUUAUAAAUUUAUAAUUAUUUAAAUAAUUUUUAAAUUUUAAAAGGGCUUACUUGAUUUUUUUAAAAAUUUUUUUACUAAUGCCUUUUUGACCCUUUAGCUUUAUUAAUUUCAAAAUUUUCUAAUUUACUUCCAAUAAAAGAGUAGGGUCAAAUUGAAUAAAUGUAUAAAGGUUGAGAGUUAAAUUUAUUAUUAUAUCUUGUAUAUAGGCUCCAAAUUUUAAUUUGAACUAAUUUGUCUUUUUUUUAAUAAAAAACUAAAAUACAAUUCAAAAUAUAGUAAAAAAAAUUUGUGAUACUUUUACCGGGCAAUUUACACAAAAAAGCCCUUGUUUUUAAAAUUACCGAAAUGGGUUCAGUAUUUAAUUAUUUACCGGAAUGAGCUAUUUUCUGGGAAAUCGUGUCCACGUCAGCUCAAUGUCAGGGUACGCGCCAGCAAGUCGCGGCCACAUCAGCACAAUUUGUUGACGUGGACGCGACUUGCCCCGUGCGUGAACCCCCCCAACAGUCAAAAAGAAAACUAUAAAUACCCCCGCCCCUUUUCUUUUCACAAACUAAUCCUCUCUCAAAUUUCCUCUCAAUUUCCUCUCAAUUUGCUUUCAAAUUCCUUCCAAAUUUCUCUCAAAUCCAUAUUUAAUUUUAAUUUGCUCUCAAGUUCCUCUUAAAUUUCUCUUAACUCCCCUUUUUUAAAUAAUUUUAAAAAAAUUAAAUUUUUUUAAACAGUAAAAAUUUGUACGACUUCAACAAUGGCUGGAGAAUUGACUCGUCUUGAUAAGCAUCACAUAUUGGCGGAACAAAUGAAAAUGAUAAGUGUUAAAUUUAAUUUCUAAAUAUUAUUUAAGAAUUUUUUAUUUAUGCAUUUUUAGAUAAUUAUUAAUUUAUUAUUUGUUAUAAAAGUUUGUAGAUCGGGUAUUGGAAUGCAAUAUCCGGAAUAUGCACGCUCCUCCAUCACCGUUGGUAGAGAACUACCUGCGGGAAGCAGGUUUUUAGCACGUGGCGAUGGUAGGCCGGGGAUGCAAGGUGGACCCGAAACUAAUCAGUGCGUUGAUCGAGAGGUGGAGACCCGAGACGCACACAUUCCAUCUUCCAUGUAGAGAGUGCACUAUCACUCUAGAAGAUGUCAGUCUUCAAUUGGGAUUGUCGGUGGACGGGUAUCCAGUCACCGGGUCUGCCCAAUCUAGCGAUUGGGGGGUGUGCUACGUGCUUUUGGGUGCUAUUUAGGAGAAAAUGGAGGGAGGUAAGAUCAAGAUGGGCUGGUUACGUGACACGUUCCCUAAUCCGAAUGAAGAUUCAACCGAAAUUGAAAGAAUCCGAUAUGCUCGGGCAUACAUUCUUCAAUUAAUUAGAGGUUAUCUGAUGCCUGACACAUCACGGAGCUGUGUACAUCUAAGAUGGAUGCUGAAACUCGUUGAUUUUAGAGCAGCCGGUGAAUUGAGUUGGGGGUCUGCCGUCUUGGCAACGUUAUAUCGGGAGAUAUACGCGGCGAAGCGACCGAGGAGAGAAAACAUCGGAGGUUGCCUGUCACUACUGCAGUCAUGGGCACGGUUUCGCUUUCCAUUUCUACGUCCUCAAGUGGACCACCCAUAUACAUUCCCACUCAUAACAAGGUAAAUUUUAUAUUAGAUUUUACAAUUAUUAUGUAGAUUUUUAAAAAUAAAAGUAUGCUAAAUUUUUUUAUGAAAUUUGGUGGAACCAUCAGACAAGUCAUGCUCGGUUACCUACCUCUUUUGAAGAUAUACGACUUCUAUUAGACCAACGGUCGGAAGCAUAAGUAAGUAUUAAAUAAAAUAGAUAUUUCCAUACAUUCGCUAGUCAAUUGGUAUUUAGUAUUUAGUAUUUAGUAUUAUGUAUAUAACUAAUAUUUCUAUCAUGUUCAUAUAGUUUCAAUGGACACCAUACGAGGAUCUGACAAUUCGGGCAGUAAUUCAGGAAGGGUUCUUACAAAAUCCACUAGCUUAACACGUGAAAGUUGUGUUGAUCAACUACGCAACCAUGGAGCCGCACCAGUCAGACAGAGUGCUACUACAGUUUGGAUGUAGACAACCGAUUCCCGUGGAUCCUGAUAUGUUUGAUGAUCAACACAAAGUCGACCUUCGGCAAUUGAAUAUGGAUUGGCCGAGAUACUGGUCCGAGUACAUGAAAAUAUGGGAAGAUCGGUAUGAAUAUAUACCUACUCGGGAACCAAUCAUCGUUCCGGAGUUAGUGUGCAUUCCAGAAUACAUGUCGUGGUUUAGAAUCCAUGGCAAGCCGUAUUUACUGAUGCGAGAGGAGAGGCAGCGACAAAUACCUGUCUAAAGGGAAAGGCGCGGGCCUCUAAAUCCAAGACGACAAGACGACGAAGGCAGCCCCUCAACGAGGCCCAGACAUUCACCCGGCUCAUCAUCAGCGGCCAUGCAAUCACCAGGCCCAAUGAGAGCACCAACACAGUCACCCAACACAGCAAUUCAAUAGAUGAUACCCAUGCAACCGCCUUUUCAAAUGAUGCCAGGUGCGUUUCCUACCGCUUAUAUGUAUCCUAACCCUUAUAUGUAUCCUUUUCCGAGUCCUAUGGCAGGUUGGAGCCAAAUGCCAGGUUCAGCUCUAUUUUCUGUUAUGCCGAGUAGACCGCCGAUAUAUAGGCCAGCGUCGCACGAGGGAUCGUAAGAGGGGCUGUCGGGGAGCUCUCCUUUUUACCAAUCCUCACCAACGUAUGAGUUUCAAACAUCAUCACCGUUCGUGAUGCAAACACUUCCACAUACACUAUUCUUUGAAGGUGGAUCAUCGUCCCAAGUCUGACAACCAGAUGACGUACCGGAAGAACCAGAAUCCCCGCCGAAGGAACAACAAUCGGCGUUGAAAGCUAGACAAAGAAGGAAUCCAGCGCGUAACCGUCGACGGCCGCCAUGUGGCACUGAAUCCCCCGGGCAUAGACAUUGAUUUUUGUAUUUAAAUUUAUUUGUACAAAUAUUUUGAAUAUUUUGAUAUUAUUUGAUGUAAUAAAAUAGAAAUUUUUUUGAGUUAUUUUGACAUUAAUCUUAGCCUCUCUAAUUUGUUUCUGCUGUGACUUAUGCAUUCUGAGAACAUUUUUUGCCUAAUUUAUAGCCUCAGUCCAAACAUGCUACUAUAGCAAAAGCGCGUCCACGAGGGCGCGCUUUCACAAAUUCUUCUCAAAUAGCAUACUGCUAGAAGCAAUUUUAUACUAUUUGCUCAGAAAUGUCAACUCAAAAUUAUUUCUUCUAGGACCUACUGUAGCAAAAGCGCGUCCAUGAGGGCGCGAUUUCACAAAUUCUUAUCAAACAGCAUUCUGCUAGAAGCGAUUUUAUACUAUUUGCUCAGAAACGUCAACUCGAAAUUAUUUCUUCCAAGACCUACUGUAGUAAAAGCGCGUCCACGGGGGUGCGAUUUCACAAAUUAUUAUCAAACAACAUUCUGCUAGAAGCGAUUUUAUACUAUUUGAUCAGAAACGUCAACUCGAAAUUAUUUCUUCCAGGACUUAAAACCCUAAAAAGCCUAAACCCUAAACCUUAAAAGCCAAAAAAAUUUAACGUGGGAAAAACGGCAAAAUUGCGUCCCCCGAAACGCGAUACGUGGCAUGAAAUCACAUCCACGUCAGCGCGAUUUGUUGACGUGGCAGCAAAUCGCAUCCUAAAGGGCCCGAUUUGUUGUCAUAUCAGCAAAUCGCGCUGACGUGGCCGCGACUUGUGGCUCGUACCUUGACAUCACGCUUAGGUGGACGCGAUUUGCCGGAAAAUGGCCUAUUCUGGUAAAUAAUUAAAUACUGGGCCCAUUUCGGUAAUUUUAAAUAAAAAGGCUUUUAUUGGUAAAUUGCCCACUUUUAGCUAUCAUAUUAAUAGAUAAAACGAAAUAAUUAACAAAAUCGAUGAAAAUUUCUAAUUGAGUAAAAAAGAAGGCACUAAUAAUUUGUUGAUUUUAAUGAAGGGGGUCUCAUUUAUAAAAACGUGUCUUUUUCCCCUCCCCCGCUCAACAUUCAAUUUGACCGCACUAAUUAAGUUAUCCUUUCAAUAAUUAAUUUUAACUAUAUUAUCCUUAAUCUUCACUCUACUCUUUUAAAAUAUAUAGUGAUUCUCACUUUCAAAUUCGUAAUUAGUGUUUACUUCUUUAAUGAUCUAUAAAAUAUGAAAGAUUAGUCAUUAGACUUGCUCUAAUGAAUACAUUUGGAAAAUCAAAAAUAGUAAACUAAGGGUAAGUUCGAAUGGGCGAUGCAUUUACUUGCGAUUAGUGUUAAAACAAUGGUGGCAGUGAGAUUAAAUGUUGUGACAAUAUUGUAACGUAAAACAAAAAGUAAGCUAAACGCACCGCAUCCCACCAUCUAUUCAAGCCCAUCCUAAAUACACUUCCUCACCACCAGACUCCAUCUUAAUCUUUCUUUACCUUAUCUAAUAUAUAUUGGAAAAUUAUUCCAUACAUUAUCAAUAGAAAUUGUUAAAUUUUACUAGUGAAUUGUUAAAUAUUUUUAGUUUAUCUGCUUUCUAGUUUCUUCUAUUAAAAUAAAUCCUUAAAACGUACUACAAUAAUUUUUUAAAUUUCUAUUAAAAAAAAUUUGUAAUUUCCCAUUUUACUAAAAUCAUUAGCCUCAUGUGACGUUGUAUUAAGAAUUUACAUUUGAUAUACUAUGUGUAUAGGUGAAUCACAUGCAAGAAAUCACUUGUUAAAAAUCAUUUUAUUUGUUUUUAAUAACUUUUAAAAUUGUUAAAUUGGCGGAACUAUUGUGGUUAAUUACUAACUAUAGUCUGGUUUUGAUAUUAUCACUGAUUUUUUUGAAACUUUGUUUUGGUAUUAUACAGACAGACUAUAAAAUUGAUGCGAAAAUGAAGAAGUUAGGAGAGGACAUGGUUAAACACUGUGCAGGGCUUCCAUUAGCCAUCAUUAUAUUGGGAGGGAUUUUGGCUACAAAAUAUCCUUCAUCAACUGAAUGGCUGAAGGUAUCUGCAAAUGUGAAAUCAUACAUGAAGAACAAUAAAGGUGAAGUUCUAAGAGAUGUGUUAGCAUUAAGUUAUGAUGAUCUGCCUCCCUAUUUAAAAUCAUGUUUCCUUUAUUUAAGCCAAUUUCCAGAGGAUUAUGAGAUACCUGCGGAUAGAUUGAUUCAGUUAUGGGUUGCCGAAGGUAUUGUUUCAUCAAAGCAAGAAGUAGGAGAUCAUAUAUAAUAGGAGUAACUACAUAUUAUUUACUAUCAUAAUAGCUUAGCCCAAAAUAAAAUUGAUCUAAUUUGGUAAUAGUUUAUUGGGCUUUAAUUAUUAAAUAAAGUAUAGGUUAAAUAUGUGUAUAUACUCUAGUAACACUACACCAGAACAGAUUUUUAGCGGCAUUUUUUAGGCCUUUAGCGGCGCUUUUUAACGCCACUAAAGGCAUUUGCGGCGCUUUAGGAAGCGCCACAAAAAAAGCCGCUAAGGAUAACGUCGCUAACUUUUUGCGGCGCUUACAGAAAAAAGUGCCGCUAAAGGUCAUGAUUUUUGGCGGCGCUUAGAAAAAACGCCACUAAAGAUCAUGUUCUUUAGCGGCGCUUAGAAAAAAACGCCGCUAAAUAUCAUGUUCUUUAGCGGCGCUUGUGCAAAAAACGCCGCUAAAGAUCAUGUUCUUUAGCGGCGCUAAGAAAAAAACGCCACUAAAGAUCAUGUUCUUUAGCGGCGGUAAGAAAAAAACGCCACCAAAGAUCGUGUUCUUUAGCGGCGCUUGGGAAAAAAACGCCGCUAAAGAUCAUGUUCUUUAGCGGCGCUUUAUCUACAAAUGCCGCUAAAAGUAGUGUGCUUUAGCGGCGCUUAUUUCAGAAAUGCCACUAUAUGAUAUAACUUUUAGCGGCGCUUUUUAAAAAAACGCCACUAAUUUUGAGAUUUUUUAAAAUAAAAUUUUCUGUUUUUUUCAGCCCUCCUGCAACAACAAAUUAAAAGCAACCAGAUCUAAACUAACCAAAAACAAUAAAUUUAUAUAAUAUUUCAAAUUAAAUGACUAAAAUGAUAUUAAUAUCAAUAAAUAAAAGUGAAUUCAUACUUUUCUUUACAAAAACGUUAAAAGUUAGAAUGAUAAAAAUAUUUAUGCAACAUACAUUAUGUAGGCGGAAGUUGCGACUGCUGAAACAUCUUCAUCAUAAUCUGAAGUUGUUGUUGAAGUUCAUCGUACUUUUUGCUCUGCUAUGCCUCUCUCGAUGCCGCAUCUGCUUGAAGUCGUUGCUGUAGUUCUUCAUAUUUUUUUUGAACCUCUGCUUCUCUCGCUGCUUCUCUCGCUGCGGCAUCUGCUUCUCUCGUUGCAGUCUCUGCUUCCCUCGCUGCUGCCUUUGUUUUAAGUUGUUGCUGAAGUUCUUCAUAUUUCCUUUGAACCUCAAAUGUGGUCGCUUGCAUCUGAGCUAUCUGGUCUUUUAACCUCUGAACUUCAGCUUGAGAUUGACUCCCCGAAGCCAUGUAUUGGUGCGAGCUGGUUCCAAAAUAUUGGGUUGGGCUGAUAAAAGAUCCUUGAAAUCGAACCCGACCAUACCUUUCUGGACCGAAAACUUCAGUAAUAAUCCGGUUGUCAAUGUCUUCAAGAUGAAUAGAACUAUCAGUAGAAGCAAUCGCUUCGUACUCCGCCUUUUUAUCAUUUAGUUUUUCCUAAUAAAUAAAUCACAUAGUUAGGAACACAAUAUAUAUUAAAAAACAAAUGCAAUAUAACAAUAGUCGCAUUAAAAGCAAUAAAUUAAACCAUUAGAAAAGAAACACUAUAAAUAACUAAAACAAGUCAAAUCGUAUUAAGUAAACGUACCAUAAUUUCAGCAGCUUCAAGAGUCAUAGCAGAUCCAUCUUUCUUCUUAUGUGUAAUUUCAAAAAGUUGAAGGCGUCCAACUUUUUGACCGGACGCCCGUUCCUACAAUAUAGUAGUAAGAAUAUUAUUUAAUAGAAAGUUAUACAUAUUGUAGAAUAUUAAAAAAUUAAAAAUACCUCCGCCUCAGCUACACAUGUAAAACUUCUCGACCCGGCUAUAUGAGUGAAUUUUUGUUGCUGCCGGCUGCUUUUUCCAACUCGUUCACGAUCCUACGUUAUAAAAUUUUUAGAACGUAAAUAGUAAAUAGUAUACACCAAAAUAAUUACAAUAGUUUUGAAGUACGUCGUACCUCGCCUUUCUUCGAAUGCCAAAAUCUAACCGCAUCUUCCCAUUGGUACAUCAACAUACCCGGCGGGACAUUUUGCAAUUUCUCAUCGAGGGUUGUUUUUGUCUUAUAAUAAUUUUUCUUCAACAUACUUUUAUUGUCUCUCCAUCUUUUUCCCAAUGCCUUCUUUACAUAAGCAUCGGAGACCUCUAAAGCAAACCUCGCCUACAAAAAACACAAGUUAAUAAAGUAAAUAUAAAUGAAACUGUUUCCCAAGCAUUACAGAUGACAUUAACAUUUUGUUACAUUAAUAUUAUCGAGGGCUUGGUUUUCGUCGCUAUCGGGCAUUUCACGCCAUGACUCGUAGUUGAUAGGCAACAUAUUCGCAUUUCGUGCUAAAAUGCCCAUGUAUCCUGCUAAAAGUCGAGCUUCUGAUCCAACAGGCUGACCAAAACUGUUUCUGCAUACCUUGACACGCUCGACUGGAUCUAACUCGUACAACUCUUUAAGUAGCGUACGUCCUCGACCUCUGCGCGUCCUACCAUUUUCAGCUACAAAUGGUAUAUUAUAAUAUAAGAAUUUGAAAAAUAAAUCAACUAUAAGUUAACACGCAUGUAAAUUAAAUGUAAAAUUACUUUGAACUUCUGUAGGAUCCUCAGCUGGAAUCGGAACAUUCGAAGAUCCAAUUGCUAUCUGUUGUUCAGUACUAUUUGUUUCUGUCGAGUUUGGAUCAUUUUGAACAAUGCUUCCCCUUAGAAUUUUUCUUCUAGGCAUUUUAUCUGCAAUACACAUAAAGUAGUUGAAAACUUAAUAACUAAUUACAACAAUAACAGCACAUAUAAAACAAUUGAUAUGAUAUAAUAAGACCAAGAUUUAAAUGAUGAUAUUACAUAUAAUUAAACAAUCGUAAAAUCUUACUACAUCAUUAUUCGUAAAUAUCUUCAUUCGUAUCCUGACGAACCCAUUGAAAUUGUGCACUAGUACUAGGGAUAUUAUUGUUUAAGUUUUGUUCUGGAAAUGGCAAAGUUUCUGAUCUGUCGUCGAUGUUAUCUCUACUUCCACUGCCCAUGUCAAACAAGUCUCUAGGGAUGUUACGGAGUACAACGUACCAACCCUCAUCAGUUGGAUCUUUUGAGUAAAAAACUUGUUUGACUUGACUUGAGAAUACAUACGGCUCAUCUAUCAAUUGUUGUCCUGUGUGAAUCAAUCGGUCAAAGUUCACCAUUGUAAAACCAAAUUGAUCUUGCUUGAUUCCACGAGCUGUAUUAACAUCGGCCCAAUCACCUCGAAAUAAGACAACUUUCCAUUUGCCGUGGUAAUCCAACUCAAUAAUGUCAGUAAGCUGUCUGAAAUAUUCCACAUUUCCCUCGACAGGAUUAUUGUCCCUAGCGCUAGCAUAACUUGUAAUUGCAGAAUUAACAAUUAUUCCAAAAUUUUGCGUUCUCCUCAACCUCUUGCCAUAUUUUGUAUGAAAUCUGAAUCCGUUGAUGAGGAACGCACUAUAUCUUUUAACCACUCAAUUUGGACCUUGGGAUAGCCAUUUAACUUCGUCGUUUACGCUCUUCCCACUCCAAACCUAUUGAAUGGAAAGUAAACUGACUAAUUAAAAAUCUUAUGAGAAAGCAUUAUAAUUUGUAAGCGGAAGCUCGAACUGCAUACCGUUUGACACAACCAUUCAUAAAAAGAUUCUGUAAACAACUUAUUGAUAUCUCGAUGUUGUGUUCUUCAGGAGCGCGAACGAGAUCUCAAUAUUUGUUUGUACUCACUAUGUUAAAAACAAUGUGAUCUUUGUUAGAAGAUAAACAAUUUUUAGUUUGAUAAAUAUUUAUAAAAUUUGUAGAACUUACUUCCGUAAAGGUUCCAAUGAUUCGUGGUGAAACAGAACAUAUCGAUGUGCUUGUACCCACGAUAAAUGAUCUAAUUCUGCAAUUUCAACUUUGCCGAUUGGUUCUCCAAAACUUUGGAACAAAUAAAUAUUGGCUAAGUUAUAGUCCGUGAGUCGAGCAUUCCUAUUUGGUCUGUUCAACCUUGUUUCGACAUCUUUCAAAUAUCUUGAGCAGAAGGUCAUACAUUCCUCUGCCAAGUAGCCUUCAGCAAUUGAUCCUUCUGGAUAUCGCUUGUUGCGGCAGUAAGACUUUAAUUUGGAUAGGAACCUAAACACAAUAUACAACAUUAUCAAAAGUUGUAACUAAAGGCAUAGAGGUGAAUGAAGAAAAAUUUUAAAAAUACUUCUUUAACACCUUUCUAUGGGAUACAUCCAUCGAUAGAAAAUGGGUCCGCCAAGAAUUGCUUCGUGCGGGAGAUGAAUUAUCAAGUGAACCAUAAUGGUGAAGAAGGAAGGUGGGAAGAUUUUCUCCAUGUUGCAUAAAGUCAAAGUGGCUCGAUCCCGUACCUUCUGAAGUUCUUGAACAUCCAAAACUUUGCCACAAAUAGCUUUCAUUAUGUUGGAUAGUUCAAUGAUACAAGACAUCAUCUUCUUGGACAUACAACAUCGUAGAGCAACUGGCAUUAAAUCUUGCAUCAAGAUGUGAUAGUCAUGUGAUUUUAGCGAAUAUAAUCUUCGAUCUUUAACACUAACACAUCGAGAUAUAUUUGAUGCAUACGCAUCCGGAACCUUUAUAUCCUUCAACACCAUGCAAAAUAAUUUUUUCUCCGUCUUGUACAUUGAGAAAAUAGAAGGCGGCAACCGAUAUUUCCCAUUCGGAAGUGGAUUGGGAUGAAGAUCAGGCCGAAUUCCCAUUUGGACUAAAUCAAGUCGACUCUGAAGAUUGUCUUUUGAUUUUCCGUCGACGUUCAAAAUUGUACCCACAAUGUUCUCGCAGACAUUUUUCUCAAUGUGCAUAACAUCAAGAUUGUGUCGUAAAAGGUGAUGCUCCCAAUAAGGAAACUCAAAAAAAUACUUCUUUUUUUCCACAAGUCUGCCUCAUUAGGAUCGUCCUCUUCGUCGGAGCUUUCAUCAGCUUCAUCAUAUGAUCUUUUGUUUCUCUGUGUGUUUGGCGGUUGGUUCAUCUUCCCAUAAAUGAAAUUCAUAUCUUCCAACAUGAACAAUACUUCAGAGCCACUAGUCUGGGAAGGAGCUUCUCUGAACUCUUCAGUGCCGUCAAAUACAGAACUCUAAAAUCUAAAUCUAUGAUUUUUUGGUAACCACCGACGAUGCCCCAUGUAAGAGAACUUCUUCCCAUUGUACAACCAUUGCGAACAUGUUUGUGCAGCACAACAAGGACACGCGUAACGACCCUUGGUACUCCAACCGGAUAAAUUGGCAUAAGAAGGAAAGUCAUUAAUGGUCCACAUCAAAGCUGCACGUAAAUUAAAGUUCUCUUUUCUCAGCACAUCGUAUGUCUCGACACCAGCCCAUAAUUGUUUUAACUCUUCAAUAAGUGGCUGUAAAUAAAUGUCGAUAUCAUUCCCAGGCCCUUUCUCCCCAGGGAUAAUCAUAGAUAAAAUAAGGGAAGAUUGCUUCAUGCAAAUCCACGGAGGCAGAUUGUAAGGAACAAGCACUACUGGCCAAGUACUGUACGCAGUACUCAUGAUCUUGAAAGGAUUAAAUCCAUCAGAUGCUAGCCCAAGCCUCACACUCCUAGGAUCGCUUGCAAAGCUUGGAUAUUUAUUGUAAAAUGAUUUCCAAGCUAAAGAAUCUACCGGAUGCCUCAUCUUCCCAUCAUUGGUUUGUCCGUCAUGGUGCCACGUCAUAGACUCCGCUGUCUUUGACGACAUGAAAAGCCUUUGAAGCCUUGGUAUCAGCGAAAAAUAUCGUAAAAUCUUGACCGUCUUUUGACUUGGUUGUGCAACAUUUUCAUCGUCGUUCCCACCUUCUGUGUUUUUACUUAUCCAACGGGAGUGGCCGCAAACAUGACAGCACUGUUGAUUUCUCCGAUCGCCCCAAUACAACAUGCAGUCAUUUGGACAACUAUGGAUUUUGUUGUACCCAAGGCCUAAAUCUUUUAUCAUUUUCUUCAUAUCUUUGCAUGACCGAGGGAUUUUUGCAAAAGGAAACAUUUCUCCCAAGAACUCUAACAGCAUUGUCAAAGAGUUCCCGGUCCACCCUCCCAAACAUUUUAAUUGAAAAAGACGAACACAGAAAGACAUUUUUGAAAAUUUGGAUCCCUCAUACAGUUCUUCGUUCAUGUCAUUAAGUAGCGCAUAGAACUUCGCCGCUUCUUCAUUCGGCACUACUUCUCGGUUCGGUAAAAGCAUUUCUCCCAAUAUUACAAUCAUCAGAAGCCACAAAGUCCGCUGGGAAUGACUAGACGCCAUGAUUAUGCAUAUUAAAUGCAUUCCGCAACAUACCUUCCAUGUCAUCCCCUCUAUCAGACUGAUGGUAAGCAGUACCAGAGUAAGAUACAUCCAUCGUUGAAGAGUAAGUACUACGCGGGCAUUCUCCAUGAAAUAACCAUCGUUUAUAACCCCGAACAAACCCAUCAACAAUUAGAUGCUCGUAUACAACCUCAUGAUAAUGCCAGUUUAUGUUGACACACUUCUUACACGGGCAAAGAAUCAUGUUCUCUUGGCUUGCAUAUUGAAAUGCAAAAUUUAGAAAAUACUGUACUCCAUUUCGAUAACCAUUGCUAACCCUUGACAAAUUCAUCCAAGACCGGUCCAUUUCUUAAUUCUUGAAUUCUGACGUUCACAAUAAUUUGCACGGGUAAAUUAAAACGCCAGUUAUAACCAUAAAUGAAUUUCAAAAAUUUGUGAUAUGAUAUAUUUUUAUGUAUUAUGUAAGUUAUGUAACUUACGUAAGUUACCAAAUUAAUGUAUGUUAUGUAAGUUGUAAGUUAUUAUGUAUUAUGUAAGUUAUGUAUUAUGUAGGUUAUGUAAGUUGUGUAAGAUAUUUAAGUUAUGUAAGUUUUGCAGUAUGUAAGUUAUGUAUGCUAUGUAUAAUGUAAGUUGUUAUGUAUAAUGUAAGUUAAUAUGUAAGUAAUGUAUUAUGUAAGUUUAUAUAAAAAUUUUAUAUAAGUUAUGUAUUAUGUAAGGUAACAUAUAAGUUUAUGUAAGUUAUGAAUGUAAGUUAUGUAAGUUAUGAAUGUAAGUUAUUUAAAUUAUUUAAGUUGUGUAUUAUAUAAGUCAUGUUGCUAUGUGUAAUGUAUGUAAAUUAUGAUUUAUAAACGCUUUAAAAUUUUCAAAUAUAUCAAUAUAGUUUUAAUAAAUAUAUUAAAACUGUAUAUAAAUAUAUAUAUCAAAGAUGUUUUAAAAUAUAACUUUGAAUACAUUUCAUUUAAAAUUUAAUUUUGUAGCUAUAAUCUCCGGAUAAUUCAAAGAUCGUUACGAUAUGAUGUAUAUUUUGUAGCUUUUAUUAAUUCAAACAACAAAUUAUGUCAGUAUUUAUAAAAAAAACAUUGACUUCGAAUUACAAGAUGUAAUUAAUUUGUUUAUAUUUAUGAAAACAAUUUUUGUUAUUAAAGAAAUAAUACUUUGAAUUGCCAUUACAAAAUAAAUAUAUUUCGAAAAAGAAUAUUUUUAUUUUAAUAGAAAAUAUAAAUAAAUAUACAAAUUUAUUUGUAUGUAAAAGAUUAUUAAUCAUUAACAUAAAACCAUUAUGUAAGUUAAGAUAGAUAAUUAAUCAUUAAUUUGAAGUAAAAUUUAUAAUUGCAACACAUAAUAUCGGAAAUCGAUGAUUUAUAAACGCUAAACCGAUUAAAUGAUUCGCCCAUAAUUUAUUCAAUUACUCAAAUAUAUAAAGUUGUUUAAGAGUUGUAUUCCGAAUUUUAAUAGUUUAAAACAAUUGCCUUUGGCGAAUAUCUUGACCAGAAAAUUUAAACAUCAAAUAAUGUAAUAAGCUGCAAAGUCAAAUGCAAAUUUAGCUAAAAUGGUAAUUAAAACUCCCAUCUAAAAAUGAAAAAUAAUAAUUAAACUAUACAACUAAAAUAUAACAAAAAAAAUUUAACAAUUUGACUUUUUUUAAUAAGAAACCUAAAUAGAGAAAAAUAGGAAUAAAUACCUUAAAUUGCCUCAAUUCCGAAGCAAAUCUUGGAAAAAAAAGACAGAAAUAUAUUAGUACCAAAAAAAUAGAAGUAAUUAAAGCCAAAAAACUAAAAAAAACAGGAGUUUAUACUCACAAAGUUAGCUAAACUAAAAAAACUAAAAUUGAACAUAUAUAUGAAUACAUAUAUGAAUAUAUGUUGAAACAUGACAGUGAAUUAGAUGAUAUUAGAGGUUUAAAAUUGAACUUAUAUAACUGUUCCGAAAAUAACAUGUUCCCAAAAUUGAACAUAUAUAUAUGUUCCCAAAAUAACAUUUGUCAUAUUUGCAAGUUAUGCAAAGCUAUUUAUGGACAGAAACAUACGCAUUUUAAACAUUUAUAAAUUUCAUAGCUUUAUUUUUUUAUAUAUCUGAUUGACCUCGUGAACAACAUGAUAACAGAAAUGAGUCUUAUAUAUUUUGUAAUCAAUUUUUGUGCGCAUUGAAGGCUAAAUUGGCGAAAAAUAGUGAACUUCAACUCAUCUGCUUCAGCUUGUUUGAUUUUCUGUUUUCAUUUGCAUCUUCUGUUUUCAUUUGCAAAUUGAAUUCUCUGCAAUUCUCUGCAACAUUUAUUCAGCAAAUUGAAUUUUCUGUUUUCAUUUGCAUCUUCUGUUUUCAUUUGCAUCUUCUAAUUUCUAAUUUCAUUUAUCCAAGUAGCAUGAUUAAAGCGGUGUUUAUUUCUUCUUUUCUAACAAAAUCCUAACCAAAUAACUGACAUUUAUAAUAAAAAAUCAUAACAUAAAUAAAAUACCAAUAAAACAUAAAGCACAACAAUGUUAUUGUCAACAGAACAUAACUAAAGAUUUAAAGAAAAAGAAUAGGGAAAUAAACAAAAUGAAGGGAGAAACACGCAGAAAUCCCCAAACCCUAGACAUGCAGAAAUCCCCAAAUUCCCUAAAUUCCCAAUCCCUAAAUCAAGAUACAGUAUUUCGAAAGGAAAAAACGCUUACCUUUUAACCACAAAUUCCGCAGCUUUGAUAGUAUCCUGUGAAGAUUGAAUAAACCCUUGCUUCGUUUGCCUUGCUUCUGAGUUCUCCUCUCAAUUUUUUUUCUUUGUAUUUUUUCACGAUUUCUGGGGAAAAGUUGGGGGGCCUUUUUGGGGACGAAAUACAUUUUUCGGCUAAGUGUUGGGAUGAAAUACAGAAUGAACAAUUGCGGCGUUUGUAAUAUAGCGCCACUAAUACCGUUAAUGUGGUAGAUAAACAACAGCGUUCUUUUAAAACUGUAAAGCAAAUUUGCGGCGUUUUCUCCUCGCGCCGCUAAAACAUACCUUUACUAGCGCUUUUACAAUUGCGCCGCAAAAGCCAGUAAAUUCCCGAACAAAAACUACAUCGUUUUGCCCAAACUAUUCAUAAUUUUUUGCGGCGUUUACGAAUAAAACGCCGCUAAUGCCCAUUUUUUUGGCGUUUUCUACAAAAACGCCGCUAGUGCCCAUUUUUCUACAAAAACGCCACUAACAAAUUAAAUUCUUCUACUGAAACGACACCGUUUUUUAGAUAUUUUAAAACAUUGUUUUUUUAAUUCAUAUUUAAAAACACAAUAUAUAAUUACAAAUUGUGGCAUUUACGAAUAAAACGCAGCUAAUGCCGUUAAUAUGCAAUAGAAAACGACAACGUUUUGAUUAAAAUACAGAGCAACUUUGCGGCGUUUUCUUCCUAGCGCCUCUAAUACCCAACCUUAGCGGCGUUUUUGCCCUUGCGCCGCGAACGCCGUUAAAUUCUCACCUAAAAACUACACCGUUUUUACCAAAUUAUUAAUAACUUUUGCGGCGUUUUUGCUCAAAACGCCGCUAAAUCUCACAUCUUUUACUUAGUAUUAUUUGUUUCUUUCUUUCUUCUAUGUUUCAUUAGAAUUUUAAUUAAUUAAUUAUUAAAAUUUUAAGUAAUGUUUAAAACUAUCUGAUAAAAUUAUAAAUUUUAGUUUUUUUAUUUCAUUUUUAUAUUUUUAUAUUUUUUCAUAUAUUUUGAUCCUAUCCAAAUUAAAUAUAAAUAAUUACUAUAUAUAUAUAAUAUCGAAUUGUUAAUGUUAAAUAUUUUUAAAUUUAAAUUUUAGUAAUUAAAUGUUUCAUUUAACAAGUUGUCUAAAAUAAACCAAAACCCUAAUUAAUGAUCACUGAACCUCCACCAAUUGUAGGAUUCUUGACAUGUGCUAUUGGUGCCCUAGGAACAUUGCCAAAAUAUCGAAAGGGGGCAUCUGCUAGCUUCCAACCCUCCAAAUCCCGUCGUUCAUCAAUAAAUAUUUUUAAAACGAUCCUUUCUACUAUAAAUUAGAAGGCUGAACCAGAUUUUGCAGAGUAGUGAAAAAGAUUUGGAGAAACAAAACCAGACGGUCACUACUUAAUAUUAAAUUUAUUAUUAUAUAUUUUACAAACAUAUAAGAACAUAUUUAAUAUAUAAAUUAAUAAAACUAAUUAAUCUAAGCAACCAUGAUCCCUAACUUGAGUAGUACCCUUAAUUGACACCCUAAACCCUAAAUCCAUAACCCUUAACCCCUAAAUCUCCUAGCCCCUAAAUUCCUAACCCCUAACUCCUAACCCCUAAAUCCCUAACCCCUAACCCCUAAACCUUAUAUCCCAAACCCUAAUAAUCAUAUAUACCCCUUAUAUAUAUACCUUCCAAAAAUUCCCUAAAUCUUUAAUAAUCAUAUAUAUAUAGUUGAAUUGGUGAAGUGAUAACAAAAGGAAUGAUAGCGAGUUAGGACGUAUAUAUAUGCAUAUAUUUUAAUUAAUUGAAUGAGAUCAAUUCAAAUUCACAAUUUGAUUUAAGUAUUUAAUUAAAUGUUUGUCAUGAAAUAUUAUAAUUAGUUGAGUAUUACGUACUAUUUCAACCUUGAAUUUAAAUUAAAUAAUAUAUAUUAUCCAUCAAAUUUUUUAAUCCUAAUAAAAAACAUAAUUUUAAAAUUUUUACCUUUUUUUGGAUGUUGAUCACAUCCACAAUAUAUAACCAGAUCAUUUGAAUUAAUUAACUUAAUACUAUAUUAAAUUAAUAAUCAUAUAUAUAUAUACCUUAAACCUAAUUAAACCCUAAAUUAACUAUACUGAUAAUUAAUUAAUUCAAUAUUUUAAAUUUAAAAUCAUACUAUAUCUGUUUUACGAUUAUAUAAAUUUUUUUUACUAUAUAUAAUAAUAUAAAAAAUAAGCAGUAUUAAUUCAUGUAUCCAAAAAUCUUAAAAAUUAUUUUAAAUAAUAGUAUUUUAAUUUUUUCCAUAUGAUUUAUUUCAAAUUAUUUUUAUGUGUUAUUUUUUCUGAAUAUUUUAAAUAUUUAAUUAGAUUUAAGUUGAAUUUUAUUUAAUUAAUCUAAAUAAUAAACCAAUUAAGAUAAAAUGUUUUUUUGCGGCGCUUCAACAAAAACUCCACAAAAACCUUAACAUUAGCGGCGUUUAUCAUAAAAACGCCGCUAAAAAUCUUAACUUUAGCGUCGCUUACAUAAAAACGCCGGCUAAGACCAAAUAUUCGCUGCGCUUCAAAGAAAUCGCCGCUAAAUACCUUAACUUUAGCGGCGGUUGAUUAAAAACGCCACUAAAACCCUCGACCAUUAGCGGCGAGAUCCUAAAAACGCCGCUGAAAGUAAAAGCAUUAGCGGCACAAAUACAAAAACGCCACUAAAGCCCUCCGAAGACCACCAAACGACGUCGUUGGGAUUUUUUUUGGCGGCGUUUUUGUCCUAAUGCAUAUUUUCAGCGGCGUUUUCUUAGUAACGCCGCGAAAGCUCAUUUUUUGGCGGCGUUUUUUGUCAAGUGCCGCUAAUUCCUGACUUUUACCGGCGUUUUUUAUCGAAACGCCACUAAAAGUGCCGCUAAAACCCUGUUUUGGUGUAGUGUAACUAAUUUCUAAUUGAUGAUGGGCUGAUUAGAAAUUAAGGCUAAUGUGUCAAAGUUAUAUAUAUUAGGGUUACGGUCCUUCAAUUAUAUACAAUGUAACUUUUUCUAAUUUCCCAUCUUUAGAAAAGAGAGAGCUAACCUGUCUAGAUUACUUGUGUGCUAAUUUGAAAAAUUAAAACCUCAAGAUCUGUAAAUUUCAAGAAAUUGAUGAAUUCAAGUACGCUUCCGUAUCUAGUUUUGUUCUUUAUUUAUUCUUAAUGAUUUAACAUGACAAAUCUUGAUUUGUUUGAAGUUUUAUAUUAGACUUUGAUUUUUCGAUUCUAACAAUCUCAACAUCUUAAGUGAAGCUGACAAGAAGAUGAAGGUUGAAAAAUUAGCAAACAAGUUAACUAGUUUCUUGGAAGAAAACAAAUGCUUGGUGAUUCUCGAUGAUAUUUGGAACACCGAGGCUUGGGAGAGCUUAAAACCAGCAUUUUUAGCAAGGCGGACGAGAAGCAAGUGCCUACUUCGGGUGCUUCAAGUGCCUACUUCAACCAUUUCCCUAAUUAAUUUCUAAUUUCAUCUAUUUUGCUACAUAAUCUUCUCUAAUUAAAAUAUUUAAUAUUUUAUGUGGUGAGAGUUCAAGUGGAGCAAAUGGUUCACGUGAAUAAGGACUUGAAGUACAUGAAGAAAUGUAAAAAAUAUACCGUGAUUCGCUCCAUAGUACAAGUGCAUGUGACAAAUCGCAAUAGCCAGAUGGUGCCUCUACAAGUGUGCAAAUUGGAAGAGAGUUCCGAGCGUUCCAAGUGGCUCACGUGAUGAAGAAAUGCAAAAUAUAUACCGUGAUUCACUCCGAGUGUUUCAAGUGCCUUGAAGAGAACCAAAAAUUCUAAACUAAUAGCUAUGCCUUCCCAUCCCAUGGUUUCAAACAAGGGCAUAAAAAGGGAUUUUUAAACCCACUAUGUUCUUCUUCAAUAUUAGUGUAAAAGUUGUCAAUGCAUUACCAUAAAUAUAAAGUUCAAUUUUAAAAAAAAAUGGAUUUGGAAUAAUUUGGUUUUUUUUAAGUCCUAACAAUAUUUGGAGGAUUCCUAUAAAGAAUUGUCUACUUUAUAUAUAUAUAUAUAUAUUAAGCGAAUGAUUUAUGGAGAUGGGAAAUAAAAAUAUAUGGAAGUUAUACAACUUCACAAUUAAAGGUCAAAUUUUGCUUAUAGUCUGUGUAUAAAUAAUGCCAAAAAGGUUAUGUUAUUUAAGAAAAUGGGUUUAACUGUUAGUUUGAAUCAAGAUUAAAAUUUUAAAAUUUAAAAUUCUAUGGAUUGAAAAGUAUUAAAUUGGAGAAUAAGGACUUAAUUCAUAACCUAUGCAUGGUAUGAAAUUAAUAGAAAAUUUUGAUCUAACAUAUGUAAUUAGUACCGUUUGACAAAAUCGACCUAAGGUCUCAAAUUUUGAAAAUGUCAAAUUAGAAGGAUUAAGUCCACAAAUUUCGCAAAAUAUAUGGACUAGUAGCACAAUAUGACCUAAAUAAAAUUACUCACUCUUCCUCCAACUUGGUUUCCAGUUAAAUAAGAGUGGCUGUUGCUACUUCUUUUUUCUUUUCACGCUCGCUAGAAUUGAAAUCAUAGAAAGAUUACAUUUUGAGAAAUUAAUUUUCAGAACAAUCUAUGGAUUUCUCUGCUGUGUCUUAUGCUCUCGAAACAAUCGACAAGCUAACACAAGAAGUUACAUCCUUGUGGGGCGUCGAUGAACAAGUUGAGGGCUUAGCAAGUGAGCUGAGAUGGAUGGAAAGCUUCUUGAAAGUGGCAGACGCAAGCAAAGUUGAUCAUGAGGUGAUACGUACCACCGUUGUUGAGAUCAGAGAGUUGGCCUACGAUGCUGAAGAUGUGAUCGAGACGUUUUCCCUCAAAGUUGCUUCCAAAAGGAAAGGUGGAUUUUCAAAUUGCAUCAAGAGAUCCGCUUGUUUCCUCAAGGAGGGAUGCCUGCUCCACCAGAUCAAGUCAGAGAUAGAGAAAAUCACAGCCAGAAUCAAAGUAUUGACUCGACAAUUGAAGACGUAUGAUGUAUCAAAGUUAGGUGUUGAUGGAGAAGGACCAAGUUGUUCAACUGAAAGGCGGGAGGCAAGGCGGCCUUAUCCUCACGUUAUGGAUGAUAACAUUGUUGGAUUGGGUAAGGAUAUCAAGAAACUUGUCCCAGUUCUUCUCGAUGAGCAAAGUGAAUGUAGGGUUGUCUCCAUAUGCGGAAUGGGUGGUCUGGGCAAGACCACUCUUGCCAAGAAAAUAUAUAGUCAAAGCCAAGUUGUUGGUCAUUUCAAACAUUUGGCUUGGGCAUACGUUUCUCAAAACUGUCAAAAAAGAAAAGUAUGGGAAGACAUUUUAUCUGAUUUUAACCUCUUAAGUACUGAAGCUGACAAGGAGAUGAAGGUUGAAAAAUUAGCAGAGAAGUUAUCUAGUUUCUUGGAGGAAAAUAAAUGUUUGGUGGUACUCGAUGAUAUUUGGAACACCGAGUCUUGGGAUAGCUUAAAACCAGCAUUUUCAGCAAGGGAGACGAGAAGCAAGAUAUUACUCACCUCUCGGAACAAAGAGAUAGUUUCACAUGCUGACAGUAAAGGUUUCCUAUAUGAGUUGCAGUAUCUAAACUACAAACAAAGCUGGGAAUUAUUUCAAAAGAUUGCCUUUCCCCCAACAAAUUCUCCAGGUAAUAUGUUUAUUGAUUUCAUAAUUGCAAAAUUAUUCUUGUCUUAAUAUAUAUUGCAAUGUUUACUCUACAUUCUAUUUUUUUUGUUAAAAAAAAUUCUAUAAAGUUAGUUGAUUAAUAUUAUAAAUCAAUUAUAGGGAAUUAUUAAAUUAACUUUCAUUAAUAUCAAAAUCUUGAUUCAUUAAAGAAAGAUACGAGGAGCAAGCAUAACACUUGUAGUAAAAAAAAAAAAAAGCACCAACUUUUAGAUUAAAUAAUUAUAAUUUAAUUUAGAAUUAUUAAUUAAAAAAUUGAACUAAUUUUAAAAUAAAAUUAUUAUUUGAAUAAAACUCUAAUUAUAAAAUAUUUUUAUAAUUUGUGUUUAUAAUUUGUUUAUAUAAAAGCUUGUAUUAUGAUUGCUGCUCAUAAUAUUUUUAAUUUAUCUACUUUCUAAUUUCUCCUACUAAAAUAAAGCCUUAAAACAUAGUACAAUAAAAACUUUCUAACUAUGUGUGUAAAAACAUUUUAUUUAUUUUUAAUAACUUUUCAAAUUGUUAAAUUGGUGAUAAUAUUGUGGUUAAUUACUAAAAUGUAAUGUUGUGGGUAACUUGCAUUGCAUCCUGCUUCACUAAUUAUUUGAAAUUGUUUAAGAUGUCAAUAUUAUGUGGUUAAUUACUAAACUGUAGUCUGAUUUUGAAGUUAUCACUGAUUUUUUUUGAAACUUUGUUUUGGUAUUAUACAGGCUAUAAAAUUGAUGCGAAAAUGAAGGAGUUGGGAGAGGAAAUGGUUAAACACUGUGCAGGGCUUCCAUUAGCCAUCAUUAUAUUGGGAGGAAUUUUGGCUACAAAGUAUCCUUCAUUAACUGAAUGGCUGAAGGUAUCUGCAAAUGUGAAAUCAUACUUGAACAACGAUAAAGGUGAAGUACUAAGAGAUGUGUUGGCAUUAAGUUAUGAUGAUUUGCCUCCCUAUUUAAGACCAUGUUUUCUUUAUUUAAGCCACUUUCCGGAAGAUUAUGAGAUACCUGCGGAUAGAUUGAUUCAGUUAUGGAUUGCCGAAGGUAUUGUUUCAUCAAAGCAAGAAGGAGAUGAAGGGCAAAUAGCGGAAGAUGUGGCUGAAGGUCAUUUGCUGGAGCUUGCAGAAAGAUGUAUGAUUCAAGUACGAGAAAGAGACAUUGCAACCUUAAAGAUAAGAAGUUUUCAGAUGCAUGAUCUAAUGAGAGAUGUUUGCUUGUCCAAGGGAAAACAACAAAAAUUCCUCUAUAUUGCAGAUCAGUCAAAUGCGUGCCAGUUAUCCACUAUUGGGAGGGUUCGUAGAAUUUCUGCACACAAAUUUUUUUGGAUACAGUGCAUUAAAAGUCCGCGCCUUCGAUCACUUUUGUUCUUCGAUAAGUUUGUACCGAGGGAGGAAGAGGACAAUAUUUUGCCAUUGACAAUGAUGAGCUACUUCGACAACCACGACGAUGAAAUUUUCAAUCCACUUGUUUGCUUUGUCGCACUUUUUGGUUUAAGUGUGUUAGUUACUAAAUUGAGGGGAAUUUGGAAAUAUAUGUUCAAUAAUUUUAAUUUUCUUAGAGUGUUAGAUUACGAAAGAGGAGGAGCAGCAGGAUGCAAGUUACCCAAUGACAUUGGUAAACUCAUCCAUUUAAGAUUCUUGAGUCUAAGGGAUUUGACCUUCGGGAGUUCAAAGUUGCCAUCAUCUCUAGGCAACUUAAGGUGCUUGCAAUCCUUAGAUUUAAGAAUCAAAAACACUCGUUUUAAAUCUGCUCAUGUACCUAACGUGUUAUGGAGGAUGCAGCAACUAAGGCAUCUAUAUCUCCCCGUGGAAUGUAAUCGUAAAACAAAGUUGAAGCUGGGUACAUUGAGAAACCUCCAAACACUUGUCAACUUCAACACCAAGAAUUGUUAUGUAAAGGAUCUUAUCUACAUGACAAAUAUUAGAGAGUUGAAGAUUCGAGGGCCCUUCAAUAUUGAAGAUUUUAACACGGAGUUGGGCAAGAAUCCACCCAUCGUCCAAAGUAAAUAUCUUCAUUCCUUGUCUAUCAUCAAUUAUGAAGGAAGACUAGAUCCAAGACAUUUGACUCACCUCCUUUCAAGUUGUGAUAGCAUUUCUACGUUGAGAUUAGAUGCGGAGAUAAGAAGGUUACCAGAGUACCACUACUCAUCUUCAAAUCUCGCUUACAUAAAAUUAAGGUGGUGCAAGCUUGAGGGAGAUCCAAUCCCAACACUUGAGAAAGUGCCCUGCUUAAGGAUCCUUGAAUUACAUGAAGAGGCGUUCAUAGGAAAGGAAAUGUUUUGCUCCGGACAAGCUUUUGCUAAACUUGAGUCUCUAAGCCUUAAGGGACUGGAUUUUCUGGAGGAGUGGAAAGUGAGUGAAGGAGCCAUGCCUUGUCUUCGGCGAUUGGAGAUACAGGACUGCAGCCAACUAAAAGAGCUUCCAGAUGGACUGAGGUUCAUUGCAACCCUUCAAGAACUGAAGAUUGAAUCAAUGCCAAAGACAUUCAAAGAUAAAGUGGAGGAAGGGGGAGAAGAUUUCUGCAAAGUCCAACAUGUUCCUUCUAUCAUAUUCCAAAAUUGCGAGGGGUAGUAAUCAUGAUUAAUGCCAGGUAAUUCAUAAUCUCUGUUUUAGGAAAUACUUAACCCAUUUGUUUAUACAUAAAAAUCCACAACUAUUUUGCAUGUUUAUACAUCAUAUUGAUAUUUUUUAAUAUUUCCUCUUCAGGUAUUGAAGCCAUUGCCAUUUUUUUUUAUUCUGUUGCUGCUCUUCAUGGGACCAAAUAUAUGUAAAAAAGUUGUAACAAACAGUACUGUGUGAAAUUGUGUACGUGGUGUGAAAUUUUUUGUAUCGUAAAAUUAGAGAUUUGAAGUUGUCUUGUAUUUUGUUUUUUUUGUUAUAAAUUUCAAAAUUGUACCCAGUCCCCACACACUUUCCGAUGACGUCCCUCCACUACCAAAGCAUGGGCUGCAGCAUUAAGCGAACGGUUCACAAACUGGUAAGAGACUACAUCAAAACCCUGUCGCAAUCUUUGAAUAUUAUGAACAAUCGGUCGAAUAAUCGAUCUAUCUUCCUCAUUUUUGGUCAAUUUUUUAAUAACUGUCAGAGAGUCCCCUUCCACAAUCAACCGUCGAAAGCCCUUUAAUCUUGCAAGGAUCAGCGCUCUUUCACAAGCUCGUGCUUCCGCCACAAAGGCAUGAUCUAAUGAGAGAUGUUUGCUUGUCCAAGGCAAAACAACAAAAAUUCCUCUAUAUUGCAGAUCAGUCAAAUGAGUGCCAGUUAUCCACUAUUGGGAGGGUUCGCAGAGUUUCUGCUCACAAAUUUAUUCCCUUACAGUGCAUUAAAAGUCCACGUCUUCGAUCACUUUUGCUUUUCGAUGAGCUUUUACCGAAGGAAGAACAGGAAAAUAUUUUGCCAUUGACAAUGGAAAGUUACUUCGACAACCACGAUAUUGACAAUCCACUUUUUUGCUUUGUGGCACUUUUAAUUUUUAGCGCGUUAGGUAUUAAAUAUAGGGGAAUUUGGAAAUAUAUGUUCAAUAAUUUUAAUUUUCUUAGAGUGUUAGAUUACGAAGGAGGAGGAGAAGCAGGAUGCAAGUUACCCAAUGACAUUGGUAAACUCAUCCAUUUAAGAUUCUUGAGAUUAAGGGGUCUGGACUUUAUGAGUUCAAAGUUGCCAUCAUCUCUAGGCAACUUAAGGUGCUUGCAAACAUUGGAUUUAAGAAUCAAAAGCGACCAUUCAAACUCUAUUCAUGUACCUAACGUGUUAUGGAGGAUGCAGCAACUAAGGCAUCUAUAUCUCCCCGAGGAAUGUAAUCGUAAAACAAAGUUGAAGCUGGGUACAUUGAGAAACCUUCAAACACUUGUCAACUUCAACACCAAGAAUUGUUAUGUAAAGGAUCUUAUCAAAAUGACAAACCUUAGAGAGUUGGAGAUUCGAGGGUCCUUCAAUAUUGAAGAUUUUAACACGGAGGAGUUGGACAAGAAUCCACCUAUCAUCCAAAGUAAAUAUCUUCAUUCCUUGUGUAUUAUCAAUGAUGAAGGAAGAAUAGAUCCAAGACAUUUGGCACACCUCCUUUUGAGUUGCGAAAACAUUUCUAAGUUGUGGUUAGAUGUGGAGAUAAGAAGGUUACCAGAGUACCACUACUUGUCUUCAAAUCUCGCUUACAUAAAGUUGAGAAGGUGCAAGUUUGAGGAAGAUCCAAUGCCAACACUUGCGGAAUUGCCUUACCUAAGUAUGCUUGAAUUACAUGAAGGGGCUUUCAUAGGAAAGGAAAUGUUUUGCUCCGGGCAAGCUUUUGCUAAACUUGAGGACAUGUUUGGUUCAGUGUAUUAGGUAAUCCAUUACUGACCAAUUACGCGGCUAUUACAUUACGCCCCUAAUCCGGCGUUUGGUUCGCUGUAAUAGGUAUUACGCGCGUAAUACAAUCCCCACCUAAUCCCCAAAUUCCCUGCUUUUCUAAUCCCUUCCCAAAUCGAGUAAUAGGUAUUACGUCCGGCUUCCCUCCCCAACUCUCUGUUUUACCCUCCCUCCCUACCCGACCCUCUCCUCUUCUGUCCUCAUAAUUUCUCCUCCCAUUUCCCACUACUUUCGUUGAUGAUUCUGUCCUCAUCGUUUCUUCUCUCAGUCUCGGCGUUUGGUUUUGGAGGUAUGAAUAAACUUUUUAAUUUCUUGAAGCAUUUUACAUGAAUCUUUUCGUAAUAAUAGUUUCAGCCAUUUUUUGAAUGACUUGGGUUUUUUCCCAGAAUUUUCCCUUUGCUUGUUUCUUCUAGUUCUAUUUCUUCGUUUUUGUUUUUGGUGCUAAAUACUCGCUUGAAUAUCGAGUUAACUCUUUUUCUUUCUGCUAGUUCUAUUUCUUCGUUUUGCUUGUUUCAUUUUUUGGUGCUAGUUCCAGAAUGUUUUGCUUGUUAUACUAAUCGAUCCCAAGGAUCGGGUGGAAGCGAGGGGAAAUAAAUUUAUGCUAAGUGAUGCAUAUUGAUGGUGUGAAUGUAGUUCACACUUGUAAAGCAAAGCAGUAAAGCCGAUAAGAUCACUGCUUGCUGAUCUGCAUGGAUUCUUUUUUACUUUGCAAAGCUUUUUUAGAUUGAAACAUAUGCUUUGCUUGCACAGUGUGAUCAAAUAAUGCAGAUGAUUGAAAAAAGUUGCACAAUUCCUAGUUUUCUUCUUUAAACAAGGAUUUGUACUUUCUGCUUCUUUUUCUUCAUAAAGAGCAAUUCUGCCUUACUUGUUAAAACAUUCAAUAAUAUUUCAAGUUUGCGCAUCUUACUUGAAUUGGUACUUUAAACAUUUGUCUAGGUAUAAGCUCCUUCAGCUUUUGAGUCAAAGCCCUCCCAACAAAAUAUGCCUACAAAAUGUUAGCUGAUAUUCGAUUAAACUGCUUAUUCAACAUACAAAAUAUGAAAUUCAUAGAAAGGGGCCGAAAUUCAGAUAGGAGUUGCACUAUUUUAAUAUCACAACUGUUAAAACCAGAAAUUAAGAAUGCAAGCAAACACAUAUCAAUACUAGCAAAACAUUCUCAAAUAAUAACAUACUAAAGCAUUAUACAAAUUAGGUUGGAAGAAAAUUCAAGAAAACAAUCUGGACCAUGGUUGUUAAUAUGCUUUUAGCCUGUAAGAUUUGAAUGACAGUUUUAGACAAAGACCAGACCAAUAGAAAUGUAUACAACCAUUGACACAUUAAGUUUUACUUAGGUUAGCAAUUUAUUUGUAUAAUUUAUUUGUAUUCACAAAAUGCUCAUUAUUACUUACAUUACAAUCUCACCUGAUAUACAUAUAUUGAGACACUCCUGAAUUACUCUAGACUCAGAUAGGCUGUAUGAACACCAUAGGCUGAAAAUAUAUGGGGUAAAUUCUAUACAACUCCUAUUUCAACCAUUCCCACAUAGCACCUUAUGAUUUUUUCUUUUCCAAUUAAAACCUUGUAGUUAAGUUUCAGUUACAUAGAGGAUUAGCAUGCCAAUUUUAUCUAAUAAAAUUAUGAAAAGAACCUUAGUGUGAAUAGAUGACUUCUGAGUUGAGGGUAUUUUUAUAAUUUAGCUGAUAAAUUUAGUGGCAUAACUCCCUGAGUUUAUAGAAUUUAAAUACAGGAUGAUAAUUGUAACCCAAAGGAAAAAAAAAGAACCACAUGGUGCCACGAGGUAAAAGUUGAAACCACAGACAUAAAUGGAAUAUAACCUUUUACUCAAAGAAUACCAGUAAAUAUUUGUAACAAUUCAAAUAAAAAAAGAGGAGCACUAGACAGCUGACUAUGCCAACCAAUUCUACUUGUAUUUUUUAAUUUUUAGUAACUACUUGUUAAAACAUUUAAGCUGACUAUGCCACCACAUUUAGCACAAGUCUCGGCUGUUCGGGAGGCUUUAUUAUGGUUAAACCCUGCCCAUAUGUGAAGGAUUUGAUUUGUGUUGAGAUCAAUUCUCAACACGUUUUCAAUGCCGUAUAUAUAUAACCUCUAAAAAUACUACUAGCUGCAUUGGUAUUCAUAGAGAUCAGCUAGUGUUUUUGACUGUAUAUAUAUAACCUCUAAAAAUACUACUAGCUGCAUACAUAUCAGACAAAAGAAAAAACCUCCAUUAAUACAAGCUCUUGUUUUUUUUUCCUAUUUCUUUCUAUCUGAUUUAUCUUGUUUCUGGUCCUUCAUGUGUUUAACAUCCUUAGCAUGUGUUGUGUUUUCGAGAUUCUUUUGAUAUUACAAUGAUUACUCUUUAACAGUUUAUUUGUUGUUUAGUUGAAUAUAUUUUGCGGAAUCACCCAUUUCCUUUGUUUUUAUCUUGUUUUCAUAAUGUUUGCUGUAAUAUUCAUUUUGAAUCAUAUAUAUUCAAAGCUGCCAAGUUGGUAUAUUUAAUAAUCUAAAGGAAUGGUUACUAAAAGAGAGGCUGCUUUGGUAAAGUAUAUGAUCAAUUUUAUAAACUGAUUAUUUUUGUAACAUCGAUUUCCCUUUAUUGGUUACAGGUUCUUUGUUCCAACACUUCUACAUCGCAGUCGUCCCCGAUUUGCUCAUUACAGGUUAGUUUUCCAUUGGUAUUCAUGGUUGCGAAGGAUUUAGGAUAGUAGGGUAUGUAGUUUUGGGUGUUUAGCUUGCUGCUUUGUUUUAUCUGUUAGGCAACAUGAUAGUGAAUUACUUUUGUUGUUCAUUGGAGAAGCUUUCACAUCUGCUUAGGUUGCCUCCAACUAUUGUUGGGGUUUCACUCCUUCCACUGAGAAAUGGGGCACCAGAUGUGUUUGCCAAUAUAGCUGCAUUUUUGGGGACAAAUACAUGUGAAGUGGGUCUUAAUAGUGUGUUGGGUGGUGCAAUUUUUGUUAGUUGUGUUGUUGCAGGGACUGUCUCCCUUUGUGUAGUAGAGAAGAGGAUCCAGAUUGAUAAACGAUGCUUUAUUAGAGAACCGGAGUAGGGGGAAGGAUGGUAGGGGAGAGGGAAAGAAUCAGAGUAGGGGAAGAGGGUUAGUAAAGCAACGAUGUGAAGGGGGAAGGGAAAUCAUAAGAGUAGGAGGAGGGAUGGUAAGGAAAAGGGAGAGGGAUGGGAAAUGGGGAUGGAAAAUGAAAAUCUGUAACGGAAUCUACUUUGAUGGGAGUUCCAGCAGAAAAGUGCAGUUGAUGGAAUCUACUUUGAAGAGAAUGAUGAGGUCUCUCUCUGAUUUUUUCAUCUCCAUGAACUUCAAUCUCUCUCUCUCUCUAUAUAUGUAUAUAAACAACAUCAUCCCUCACCAUUCCUGCUUUUAACUUGUGCAGUAUGCUCCUGUGGUUGAGAUGUUGGAUGAGCCGAGCGGUAGCGAACCCACAUCUUAGAUAGUUACAUCAUGUCUUAUUAUUUUUUGUUAAUACAUUAACGGCUGUGAGGGUAGUUUUCAACUUUGGAAAUAGCAAGUCUGUGGUAUAUCAGCCUAUAGGAUCAGAGGUAAACAACACUUGAAAUUAAUUCCAUGUAUAAAUCAAUUAUCUAAACUACAAUGAACUUCCAAUCUUGUCUCAAAAUUGUGUGACCAUGGACUGGGACAUAUGCUUAAUUUAAGCCCUGAAAUGCAGUGUUCGAUAGAUACAGCUAUUUUUUACUUGAUGUUCUUUUGUUCCAUUCUGUUUAUCCUGCUUUGGUUAGAGAACUAGACAAGGGGUGAUGCAUUUAUGAUGAACUCCUUUCUCAAAAUAAAAAAUUGUCUAAAAUUCAGUACAAUAUUCAGAAGAUAAUAGUAAUGGUUAUUGAAUUUAUGUUUAUUAAAAAUUAAUCAAUAAUUGAGUUGAAGUAAACCGGUGAAAUGCUUACAAAUAAAUAUUCUUUUAAGUUUGGAUUCAAUCUUUAAAAUUGCAUAUAAAAAUACCAAAAGAUGAGAACACCGUUAUAUAAAUAUUUAAUUAUUUUAUUAAAAUAAUUAACUCAGAAACAAAUAUUAUAUUUUUGUUCAUGUAAAUAAUUCUUAAAUUUGAAUCUAGAUAAUUAUUUUAAAUUUUAUUAAAUCAUAUAUUUUAAUUAAAAUAUAUUUAAUAUUAAUUAUUUCAAAUUAUAUUUAUAGUAUCAUAUAUUAUGAUUUUAGUAAAUUCAUAUAAGAAUAUUGAUUAUUAGAAUUUUAUUAAAUUAUAUAUUUUAAUUAAAAUAUAUUUAAUAAUUAUUAUUUUAAUUUAUAUUUUACAGUAUCAUAUAUUAUGAUUUGAGUAAAUUCAUAUAAGAAUAUUAAUUAUUAAGAAUUUUAUUAAAUUAUAUAUUUUAAUUAAAAUAUAUUUAAUAAUAAUUAUGUUUAAAUAUGAGUAAAUUAUUUAUUAUUGAUAUUAAUAAUCUUAUUAAAAUUUAAAUAAAAUAAUUUACCAAAACAAAUUUCUGCUAAUUAUUAAGAAUUUUAUUAAAUUAUAUAUUUUAAUUAAAAUAUAUUAAAUAAUAAUUAUGUUUAAAUAUGAUUAAAUUAUUUAUUUUUGAUAAUAAAUAAUCUUAUUAAAAUUUAAAUAACAAUAACAAUAAUCAUUUACCAAAACAAAUUUAUGCUAAGGGUAUUCUGGUCAUUUUAGUUUUCUCCAUUAUGCUAUUACACCUCUAUUACAUUCAACCAAACACAGUUUUACUAUUACGCCUAUAUUCCAUUACAUUCAACCAAACAGUUGAUUUGCUAUUACACAUCUAUUCCAUUACACCUCUAAUCCAAUACAGCGAACCAAACGUGCCCUGAGUCUCUAAGCCUUAAGGGGCUGAACUUUCUGGAGGAGUGGAAGGUGAGUGAAGGAGCCAUGCCUUGUCUUCGGCGAUUGGAGAUAGAGUUCUGCGGACGACUAAAAAAGAAUCCAGAUUUACUGAGGUUCAUUGCAACCUUCCAAGAACGGAAAAUUUAAAAAAUGCCAAAGACAUUCAAAGAUAAAGUGGAGGAAGGGGGAGAAGAUUUCUGCGAAGUCCGACAUGUUCCUUGUAUCAUGUUGCAAGACUGUUUCUGGUAGUGAUUAUGAUUAAUGCCAGGUAAUUCAUAAUGUUUGUUUUAGGGAAUACUUAACCCAUUUGUUUAUAUAUAAAAAUCCACAACUAUUUGGCAUGUUUAGAUUCUUUCUCAGGCAGAUAAUUAUUUAGAGAAGAUCCUAGUUUCGGUUCUUAUCCUCUGUCUCAUAUUCCCACAAGAUUUGUCAUUUGAAUUAAAAGAGCUAGAAAAUAUUUUCAAUAAGGUGUUAAGGAUGUUCGUGAUAAUCAGCAGAUGCAAUUUUUGAACUUUUAUGUCAAGAUUCUACAACUAGUUCAUAUGAUAUUGACUUUUUUUAACUCUUCCUCUUCAGGUGUAGAAGUUAUUGCCAUAUUAUUUAUCCUGCUGCUGCUCUUCAUGGGACCAAAUAUAUGAAAGAGUUGUAACAGUACUGUGUGGAAGUGUGUAGUUGGUGAUUCGAAAUUGUCUUGUAUUUUCUAUUCUAUUGUUAAAAAACAAAAUGAUUUGAGACAUCACAAAAGAUAGCAUGUAAAUGACAUAAAUAGCCCUUAGUGUUAUAAUUUAUAUAACUAUUACAAACA
rnacentral:lncRNA from 1 species